ACAAUACCAGCAAAGGUUGUCUGCCCAAAUCGGACCUCAACGGACCAAACAGCUCGUAAAUCAAGCACUCGUCCUCCUCACCGUCGGUGGCAACGAUUUUGUCAACAACUACUACCUAGUGCCUUUCUCCGCAAGAUCUCGCCAGUUUUCUCUGCCAGACUAUGUCAAAUACCUCAUUUCCGAGCUCCGAAAAAUUCUCUUGGUAACCAACUCCUAAUUUGGCUAAGUUCGAAAGUAACUUGCUAGCUAAGCGACAAUGUGACAUGUUAAUGACUUUUAAUUAUGUGUUGUUUGAUCAUUCUUUGUGUCAUAACUUACAGAAAAUGUAUGAUCUUGGAGCACGAAGGGUUUUGGUGACGGGGACAGGACCGAUGGGCUGCGUGCCUGCUGAAUUGGCCAUGAGAAGCAGGAAUGGAGAAUGCGCAGCGGAGCUGCAACGAGCGUCGGCUCUGUACAACCCGCAACUCAUUCAGAUGCUGAGAUCAGUCAACAGCCAACUCGGUUCUGAUGUCUUUGUUGCUGCCAACGUACAGGAGACCCGCAAUGACUUCAUCAGGAACCCUCAAGCAUUUGGUAAAUUAAUUGUACAAUAUACGUUUAUAUCAAUUUUAUGUUCAUGACCUAAUAUUAUGAUCAUGGAUUAAGUUUUGUUCGAAAGAUUAACCUAUUCAAGAAUCUCCUAAUCUACGCUUAUUUUCAACCCCGCCAAUCAUUUUGUCUCUUACUAUGCAUUUUUUGUGUGUUGGUGACAUAAAGUUGCUUGUUUAAUUUUUGUUAUCCAGGAUUUACUACAUCAAAGGUUGCAUGCUGUGGGCAAGGACCUUACAAUGGCUUGGGGCUGUGCACAAGAGCUUCCAAUUUGUGCCCGAACCGCGACCUAUAUGCUUUCUGGGAUGCAUUUCAUCCGUCCGAAAAGGGGAACAGACUGAUCGUUGAGAAUAUUUUGACAGGGGAUGAAAAGUACAUGUACCCCAUGAAUCUCAGCACCAUCUUGGCUUUGGAUUCCAGGACCUAAGACAUAUUUCCAUGUGAAACUAAUAUUUAUGUGUACUACUUCCAUUUGAAACUAUAUUUAUGUGUACUAGAUUAUGAUCAGUGUUGAAUGCCAGUACCAUCUACCAUUUAUGUUUGUGCGUCGCUGGGAUGUCUAGUGAUUAAAAACUGAUUGGCUUCCCAAUUGCUUUCUAGUUUUUGUAAUGGUUUGAUUUGCAAGAUUUCCCCCAAGGUGAUAAUGUCAAACUUACCAACUUAAGUACAAUCAUCUUUAAUUUACAUUCAGUCUUUUUGUUCACUGCUUGUGGAAUUUAUUAUCACUUACUCAAUCAGGUUUGUCCAACCUCUUCCUAAAAUAUUCAAAAGUUCGUUUCUGUAACCAAAAGGAGUGCCCAUUUGAUCUACGUGUUGAUCAUCGCUGGGUUCUCUCUUUCUAACUGUGUUGUUUGCUUUAGCUUUCACUUUUCUGCUUCGCAAACUCUCUCACAAAUCUUUAUUGUGUUGCUCUCGAUCUCGCCCUCCCUCGCUCUCCAACCUUGCAUUCCUUCUCUCACAAUAUACCCACAGAGGAAACCUUGGUUUUUGUUGUUCUAGGAAUUUUGUUUGGGGCCUCCAUAUUUAGAGGAGGAGCCGAUCCUUGGAAACCCAGAUAUCUCAACGUUUUGUCAAAGCCCUCAAAUUUGGUUUCGACCGUUUUAUCUCGAUCUCACAAUCGUCGGCGCAAGACCUUCCGCUUUCCUCUCUUGCAUACCUCGGCUUUCAUCGUUUUUCGCCCCGAGCACUCCCCCCCGCAAACAUCUCUGCUGCGAUUAACUCACGCGCCCCGACCUGAUAUUUUCCAAAUACCAGUAUAGACACGUACUGACCGACAUUCAAGGGUGACGAAAGUUAUUAAUUGAUUACAAGAGUAAUGAUUAGGAGAAAAUAUUCAUGAAUAAAUAUUAGAAUUUAAGAGUAAUAAAUAAAAUUUAAGGAAGUGUCUAGAGUGCACAAAAUACAAACUAAUUCAAGAUUUACAAAAAGGAAAAAUCAUUACAAGAUAUCAUACAAGUGGGUGAUAGAUUGCUACUGGUAAGGGAAUGCCUCGUACAUCGAGUCGUAGUCCUCGUUUUUAAGACCUGAAUGGGGAUGCAAAACAAAGGUGAGUGGACCAAAUUCAUAUAUACAAUAAUAAUAAAAUAGUUAUCAAUGUACUAACCCAACAAUUUAUAUAAUGAAAACUACUAGCAUAAUAAGUGAUGGAUUUAAUAAAAAUCCUAGCAUGCCAAAAUAUCUCAAAAGUCAUAUCACGGAAUAACGUCGCAGAAAUCAAAACAGUAAACAUCUAAUAGAUCGUCUCGUAAGCGCGGUGUGUUAUUAGAAAUAUCACUGAAUAAAUAUAACUCCCGGCCCAAUGCCUGCUCUGUGGUUUCUGCGCCCGUAGCCAGAGAUUACCAACUCCCGGCCCAAUGUCUGCUCCGUGUCCCUCAGCCCGUAGCUAGGGAUUAUUUCUCUCGGCCUAUCUGCCAACACCAGAUCCUCGUCCCAGGCAACAUAGUGUCCUCUAGGUAUGCACAAAUAGUUACGUCUCUCAUAAAUAACCACUUCAUAGUAUAAAAUCAUCAAUCGUCUAUAAUAUAAAGAGGGGUUUCUAAAACAUGUCCUAGCAUCCUAUCGUAAUCCAUCAGAUAGUCUACCAGUUCAUGAUUUUUAUAAAAAAUACGAUAUAUUAAAAUAUAGCUCAAUAUAGGCCAACAAACUAAUUCCUCACCAAAAAUACGAGACGAAAAUCAAUAUCUUCAGUAAAUAGGCUUAACAUAAAUUAAAUCAUAAACUUGUAAGCAUGCUAAUCAUUUAUGCAAUUAAAUUAUAAAAUCAUGUAAUUUUAGAAGUAGUCCACUCACAAAUAUUCCUUAGUAGAAGAGUUGUGCAGAUAAAGAUUAGGAAUUUCCUCACUAGCAACUUUACCUAAGCACAAAAAUGUAAUAAAUACAUAAAAGGAUUUUCUAAAAGAUUUGGGCUUGAACUAAAUAAAUUAAGGGAUUUGGGUUGAAUGGGUUAGGGUCAAAUGGGUUUUACAAUCCUAAGGUUUUUGGGUUAAAAAGGCUUUAGGGUGAAGAAAUGUGGUUUGGCCUUAAGCCCAAACACACACACACGCACACGCACACACACGCACACGCACACACACGCACACACACACACACACACACACACCACACAACAUAAGAGCACACACAUGCACUGCAUGCACAUGCAUGCAUGACAUGCAUAUACACGCACACGCACACGCACACACCCCCCCCCCCCGCACACGCACACACCCCCCCCCCCCCCCCACACACACACACACACUCACACAGGCUGCACAACACACACACCACACAAAGGCCGGCCCUAAGGCCUCAUAAAAGGGCUGGGCUUUAGGCCUUAAUUAAAAGGAAAUGGCCCAAGGCCCUUUGGGUCUUUAAAAACAAAAUAAAUAAAAACAAAAGGGAUACGGGCUGGGGUAUUGGGUUGGCCCAAAACGGCUAAGACCCGUGGGUGCUAAUCGGCCUGAAAGGCCUGGGUUUGCUGAAGAAGAAGGCUGGAGCUGCUACAGCUCCGGUCACCUGAAAACGAGGGUUCUAGACCCUGAUCUAAGUACGAACAUGAAGAGCAAGAUGAGGGGAAGAGAUUGCUACCCUCAAAUAACCGUGACACGGCCGGAAGUGACCGGAAAUUCCCUCGAAGCUCACGGGCUCACAGGAAAAAUGGGUGUGUUUCCCCCGCGCCGUUCCCGUCUUCAAAACCUUGGAAAAACAAUAUAAAUCUUAUCACACAACUUCCAACAACAUCAAUGGCAGAUUAAAAAGGGAUCCUACCUUACCUAACCGAAGAAAUAAGGAAAAUCCUGCCGGAGAGUUUCUCUGGGUUCUUUCGUGUCCCGCAACCAUGGAUUUAAAUAUCGAAAAUAUCGCCGAUAUUUUUGUUUUUUUUUACUUACCGAUAUUUUAAGGAGUAUCUAAUGAGUUUUCGUCAAAAUAUCGCGCUAUUUUUGUUUUUUUUUACUUACCGAUAUUUUAAGGAGUAUCUAAUGAGUUUUCGUCAAAAUAUCGCGAUAUUUUCGAUAAUAUCGCGAUAUUUCUUAUAAUAUCGCGAUAUUAGCUAAAAUAUCGCGAUAUUAGUUCAAAAAUUCCUUAAAAUUUGGAAAAGACUCGGUUUUGAGCAUAAAGGGGUUCGAACCCCUCCCCCUUAACUUCUUAAGGCCUUAACCACUGUACCACUUAUGUUGUUAUGAUAAUAAGCUACAAUAUUUAUAUAUAUGGUUUAUUUUUAAAGAAACAAAUUUGCACAUAUUCCAAAUUUUUUGUGGUAUUAUAUUUUAAAUUGUGUCAAUUAAUUACUUAGUCAAUGGCAAGUGGUUUUUAAUUUUUCUAUUUUUUAUUUGGUCAAGGGCUGGAAAAAAUUCCGGAAAAUCCCAAACCAAACCGAAAAAGUCCCAAACCCAAACCGAAAAAUCCCAAACCAAAACCAUCCUGAAGUUCGGGAAUCCCAUCCCGAAAAAUACCGAAAUUUUCGAUAUGGGAUUGGUUUCCAAAUCCCAUUUGUUUGGUAAUCCCGAAAAAUACCGAAGUAUUCGGUUUCCUAUUGACUUUUGGGUUUUGGUUCUUGAAAACCAUUGCCAUAGUUGGUAACUACUCUUCAAAAUACACUCACUCUACACAUAGAGAUGAUGAAGAUAUUGAAAAUUUUGAACCUCAUAGGAACUCUAUGUGGUACUAAGCCACUCAUGCAUCUUACCAUGCAAUGUAUAAAGUGUAAAAUAUUGUACUAAUUCAUUAUAUAUAAAUGAUUAUGGUGUGUUUAGACUUCUUUCAUUAAUUUCUACAUAUUUUCUAUAGUCACAAUGUUUGUCAGCUCGCUAUAUAAUCAACUUGAUAAUGUUAAAUUCAUCAUGCAAUGCAUUUCCUUCCAAUUUUUUGUGAUAAACUAAUAGAUAAUUGACUAAAUAAACAUCCUGCAAAGUUUCAAUAAAAAUUUCCAAGUUUUUCUUACAAUUUCCGUGGUUUCCAUGUAAUUUUUAUCGAUAUCGAUAUUAUCCCGAUAUUUCCAUCGAUAUUUCCGUGUUUUCGGACUACCGAUAUUUCCGAUAUUACCGAUAUUUUCUUCCUUGCCCGCAACAACGAAAGAGAGGGAGAGAUGAUAGGGUAAUGAUGGUGAAGAUGGUGCAGGUACGGGGUUGGUAAUGGGUGUGGCUCAUGGGAGAAUGAGAGGGAGAGAGAUAAGAGAGAGAGCUACGGGAGAGCUAAGAGACUGAAAGAGAAAGGUCUCGGGUUUGGGGGGACAGAAAGAGAGAAAAUGGAAGUGAGUUAGAUUGCUGCCACGUGGUAGUUUGGGGUAAAAAUAACAUAUAACACCAAUAAUUGGGGGUGGUUGUAACAAUCUACCCCCUUAAUUUCGUCCUCAAAAUUGCGAAGUUACACAAAAAGAAAGGGAUAUUGAUUCCGCAUUGAUUCCUCUAUUUCCCAAAUAGCUUCUUCGACUGCAUGGUUCCUCCACAGUACUUUUACCAAAGGAAUAACUUUGUUCUGCAUCACUUUAUUCUGUCUGUCAAGAAUAGCCACUGGUUCUUCUACAUAGCUAGCAUCCAGAUUUACUUCCAACGACUCUAUCUGGAUGAUAUGAGAGGGAUAUGGUACAUAUUUCCGAAGCAUGGAAACAUGGAAAACGUUAUGGAUCUGUGACAACUCCGUUGAUAGCUCAAACCUAUAAGCAACUGCACCAAUUCUCUCAAUAAUCUGAUAGGGACCUACGAAUCGAGGACUCAGCUUUCCUCCCUUACCAAAAUGAACAACACCAUUCCAGGGAGACAACUUCAAGAAUACAAAGUCGCCCACUAUGUACUCACGAUCAUUGGAGUGUUUGUCUGCAAUGUUUUUUCUGUCGGUCUUGUGUUGCUUUCAAAUUCACCUUAAUCAGUUGGGUAUUACCAUUGGUAGGACCAGAUAUUGUGGAUACCACUAACGGUAAUAUCCAACUGAUUAAGGCGAAUUUGAAAGCAGCACAAGACCGACAGAAAAGCAUUGCAGACAAACACUCCAAGGAUCGUGAGUAUACAGUGGGCGACUUUGUAUUCUUGAGCUGUCUCCCUGGAAGGGUGUUGUUCGUUUUGGUAAGCAAGGAAAGCUGAGUCCUCGAUUCGUAAGUCCCUAUCAGAUUAUUGAGAGAAUUUGUGCAGUUGCUUAUAGGUUAUAGCUACCACCGGAGUUGUCACAGAUCCAUAACGUUUUCCAUGUUUCCAUGCUUCAGAAAUAUGUACCGAAUCCCUCUCAUAUCAUCUAGAUAGAGCCAUUGGAAGUAAAUCCGGAUGCUAGCUAUGUAGAAUAACCAGUGGCUAUCCUUGACAGACAGAAUAAAAUGAUGCGGAACAAAGUUAUUCCAUUAGUAAAAGUACUGUGGAGGAACCAUGCAGUCGAAGAAGCUACUUGGGAAACAGAGGAAUCAAUGCGGAAUCAAUAUCCCUUUCUUUUUGUGUAACUUCGCAAUUUCGAGGACGAAAUUAUUUUAAGGGGGUAUAUUGUUACAACCACCCCUAAUUAUUGGUGUUAUAUGUUAUUUUUACCCCAAACUGCCACUUGGCAGCAAUCUAACUCACUUCAUUUUUCUCUUUUUUUGUCCCCCUCAAACCCGAGACCUCACUCUUUCAGUCUCUCAGCUCUCCCGUAGCUCUCUCUUUCUCAUCUCUCUCAUUCUCAUUCUCCCAUGAGCCACACCCAUUACCAACCCCGUACCUGCACCACCUUCACCAUCAUUACCCUAUCAUCUCUCCCUCUCUUUCAUUGCUGCGGAACACAGAAGAACCCAGAGAAACUCUGCAGUGAGAUUUUCCCUAUUUCUCUGGUUAGGUAAGGUAGAAUCCCUUUUUAAUUCGCCAUUGAUGUUGUUGGAAGUUGUGUGAUGAGAUUUAUAUUGUUUUUCUAAGGUUUUGAAGAUGAGAACGGUGCCGGGGAAGCACACCCAUUUUUCCGGCGAACCCAUGAGCUUCGAGGUAAUUUCAGGUCACCUCCGGCCGUGUCACAGUUAUUUAAGGGUAGCAAUCUCUUCCCCUCAUCUUGCUCUUCAUGUUCGUACUUAGAUCGGGGUCUAGAACCCUCGUUUUUAGGUGACCGGAGCUGUAGCAGCUCCGACCUUCUUCUUCGACAAACCCAGGCCUUUCAGGCCGAUUAGCACCCACGGGCCUUAGCCGUUUUGGGCCAACCCAGUACCCCAGCUCGCAUCCCUUUUGUUUUUAAAGACCCAAAGGGCCUUAGGCCAUUUCCUUUUAAUUAGGGCUUAAAGCCUAGCCCUUUUGUGAGGCCUUAGGGCCGGCCUUUGUGUGGUGUGUGUGUUGUGCAGCCCGUGUGUGUGUGUGUGUGUGUGUGUAUUUAGUGUGCGUGUGUGUGCGUGUAUAUUUAGUGUGUGUGUGUGUGUGUGUAUGCAUGUCAUGCAUGCAUGUGCAUGCCGUGCAUGUGUGUGUGCUUGUGUUGUGUGGUGUGUGUGUGUGUGUGUGUGUCUGUGUGUUUGGGCUUAAGCCCAAACCACAUUUCUUCACCCUAAAGCCUUUUUAACCCAAAAGCCUUAGGAUUCUAAAACCCAUUAGACCCUAACCCAUUCAACCCAAAUCCCUUAAUUUAUUUAGUUCAAGCCCAAAUCUUUUAGAAAAUCCUUUUAUUUAUUUAUUACAUUUUUGUGCUUAGGUGAAGUUGCUAGUGAGGAAAUUCCUAAUCCUUAUCCGCACAACUCUUCUGGUAAAGAAUAUUUGUGAGUGGACUACUUCUAAAAUUACAUGAUUUUAUAAUUUAAUUGCAUAAAUGAUUAGCAUGUCUACGAGUUUAUGAUUUGAUUUAUGUUAAGCCUGUUUACUGAAGAUAUUGAUUUUCGUCUCGUGUUUUUGGUGAGGAAUUAAUUUGUUGGCCUAUAUUGAGCUAUAUUUUAAUAUAUCGUAUUUUCUAUAAAAAUCAUGAACUGGUAGACUAUCCGAUGGAUUACGAUAGGAUGCUAGGAUAUGUUUUAGAAACCCCUCUUUAUAGUAUAGACGAUGGAUGACUUUAUACUAUGAAGUGGUUAUUUAUGAGAGACGUAACUAUUUGUGCGUACCUAGAGGACACUAUGCAUCCUGGGGCGAGGAUCUGGUGUUGGCAGAUAGGCCUGGAGAAAUAAUCCCUAGCUACGGGCUGAGGGAAACGGAGCAGCCAUUGGGCCGGAAGUUGGUAAUCUCUGGCUACGAGCGUAGAGACCACGGAGCAAGCAUUGGGCCGGCAGUUAUAUUUAUUCAGUGAUAUUUCUAGCAGUACACCGCCCUUACGAGACGAUCUAUUAGACAUUUACUGUUUUGAUUUCUACGACAUUAUUCCGCAAUAUGACUUUUGAGAUAUUUUGGGAUGCUAGGAUUUUUAUUAAAUCCAUCACGUAUUAUGCUAGUAGUUUUCAUUAUAUAAACUGUGGGGGUUAGUACAUUGAUAACUGUUUUAUUAUUAUUGUAUUUAUGAAUUUGGUCCACUCACCUUUGUUUUACGCUCCCAUUCAGGUCUUAAAAACGAGGACUACGACUCAACGUAUGAGGCAUUCCCCUACCAGUAGCAAUUUAUCACCCACUUGUGUGAUAUCUUGUAAUGAUCUUUCCUUUUUGUAAAUCUUGAAUUAGUUUGUGUUCUUUGCACUAUAGACACUUAUUUAAACUUUGUUUAUUACUCUUAAAUUCUAAUGUUUAUUCAUGAAUAUUUUCUCCUAAUCAUUACUCUUGUAAUCAAUUAAUGGCUUUCGUCACCAUUGGGUGUCGGCCAACACGUGUCUAUUCUGGUAUUCGGGGAAUAUCAGGGUCGGGACGUGUCAGAUUGGUAUCAGAGCAUGGUUAGGGUUUCUUUCCAUCAAUUUGGUAAAUUUCUAUUUUUCUAAAUCUCGUUGUCUGUUUCAGAAUCAUGGCUAAUCCUGGUGGGAAUGUGCCUCGAUGAACUCGUACUUCUAUAAUGGGGGGAAUUCAGCAGUUUACUAAUGCUUUAAUGAAUGCUCUUCCGGGUCAUAGACCGAAUCGGACGUAUUUAGAAAUUGCUAGAAGUCAUGGAGUUACUGAAUUGAAAUCUGUGGGGAAUGGUGAGGAGACUAAGCAGUGGUUGGAGAAAAUGGAGGAUACUUUAGAGGCUGUGAAGUGUCUUCUAAUUGAGUGGGCAAACACUGUAGGUUUCUUUAUUCAGGGUGAUGCUAGGAGUUGGUGGAAAUUAACGAAGGAAUCUCGUCCACCUGAUUCUUGGAUGACUUGGGCUGCCUUCAGGAAACGUUUUAUUUCUUACUUUCUAAGCCCCAACAACAGAUUGAGGAAGAGGCAGAAGUAUUUAAAGUUCCGACAAGGUGACCUCAGCAUCACAAAAUUUGACAGUACUUUCAGGCGCUUGGCUAGGCAUCAUGAUGGGACUUAUGAUAAUUCGCAGACACAGAUGGAUCAGGCGAUAAUUGCACUGAACCAGGAGUACCGUACAUUGGUAGCUGCUUAGAGACCCAAAACUUAUGAGGAUGUAAUCGAGAUAAGUCUGAGUAUAGAACAGUCUAAGUGGGAUACAGAGAUACAAGAUCAACCUCAGAUCUGGAUCCAGCCCUAAAGACAGAAUAGACAGCGGAAUCAAAAUCAGAGGAAUCGGAAUUUCCGGUCGUGUAGUGCCAGAGAAUCAGUGGGCCCCUCCAGUUCUGUAGGUCCCAGACAUUUUUUUUUCUUUAAACGAUCAGGUUGGGCUCAGGGUCUUCUGGUGAAGGCUGAGGCAACGAAUCGGCGAGACGAUCUUUCAGUCAUUUCACUCCGGGUUAUUCAGUCUGUAAUCAAUGUGGGUUACGUCAUCGAGGGAGUUGUGGGAUAACUGCUGUAGUUUGUCACAUGUGCGGUGGUACCGGGCAUUUUGUUCAUGAUUGUCCUUCAGCACCACCUGGUAAUUUUACCUUUGGCUCAAACUACGGUGGUGGAGCGGGUCCGGGAUGUGGUGGAACCCGGGUCGGGAUGUGACAUUAACACUUUGAAACAAGAAAUUAAAUCGAUCUCCAAAAAUCCAACCCCCACAUUGGAUCAGGAUCUAUCACCAUCUCGUGGUGCCUUGCUUAGAUCGGCUCUGCACUCAUCAUCGAGACUCUGCCUUCACAGAGGACUCCCGCAUAUCCCACCACCAAUAAAGGUAAAGCACGGCCACCUCUCCCUUUCUUCGUUUUCAUGGCCGAAUGUCAAAUCAAGUGACUCUGACUCAUGCAUGUGUGUAUUCUGUAAAGGGGUUUCUCAAUCUGUUGUCUGUACUGAAGAAAAGGAGAAUGGGGCUCUCGAAAAUUUCAUAUCCGAGAAAAGACAAAGGUAUAGAUUUUGUUUAGUUUCUUUGUAUCUUUGAAUUCAUUGGAUUUGAUUCUUAUUGUUAUUCCAUUUUGUAGUUCUUAUCAAGUACAUACAUAUAUUAAAAAGGUAUUGAAUUGGUACCUCUUGAUCAUCGAGUAUAAUAUUUGUAGGUGCAAAAUCAUUUUGGGUCUGCAUGCAACCAAGCUUCUCUGUUGCAAACCAACAGAUUGAGAGAAUAUUAUGACCAAUUUCAAAAUUUCAGAGGUUUGUUUUGGUUUUUUAUCAUAUUGGACUUGAAUUUGCUUUAUUGUUGUUUGAUUAUAUUGAAAUCAGACUUUGGGUUGAGACUUUUAUUUGGAUUUGAUUAUAAUUUUCUAUACUAAUUAGCAUCUGGGUUGUGAAAUUUCUUAUUCUUCCUUUUUGGUGUUUAUCUCCUCUGUCAUCAUCAGUUUUGGUGCUUAUGUUGGGCUUUCAUUUUUAAAUUUUUUUAACAAGACUUUAAGGACAUCUCAAGGUGCAGCGGUAGAAUCAAACUCUCGAGGUUUAGAUUUUUUUUCCCUUCUUUUGUUUUGGAAUAAUUUUUCGGGUUUCUUCUCGCUUUUAUUAUGAAAAUAAGAGAUUGAUAAGAUGCAUAGGAGGCUUCCAUCUUUCUAUCUUUCAACUAUUUGACAAUAAACUAUUGUGGGCUAUGCGUCAAAUUCUUGUGAAUUAUGAAAUUGUUUGUCACACUCUAUUUUUAUAAGGAUUUUUUUAUUGGUCGUGUGAACCUUUUUGUGCAACCCCUUUCAUAUUACAAUUGCUAAUUUAGCUUUUUCAAUUUUGCAGUUGUGUUUGGUUACUCCAUCAAAACUCCUACUCAAACUGUUUUGUUCUCAAAACAAUGUCAUAAAAUAACAAUAGUGAACCACUAACAGAACUUCAACUCAAAUUGUUCUUGGGUUGCUGAUAAAAAGGUUUGAAAAGAAAAUAAAAUAACAGAACUUAAAUCUUAGCUUUUAAUUGGCUAUAAUGGAGAGAGUUAUCCUGUAAUUUUGCUUAAGCAUAAUUUAAUUGACAGACUGAUUUGGGUUGUUCUAUAAUUCUUUAGUAAUAGGAUCCACUAAAAUCAUGUUAUUCAAAUUUGUACCUUUUUUUUUCCAGUCUUCUCAGCAACCAAAUGGAGGGUUAUGUAUUUUGGAAAUAUUUAUAUGCAUUGAAUUAGGUAAAAUUUUGGUUUUUUGUUCAAUUUGAAAUCCAAAAUAAUAUAGAAGAUAAGAAUAAUUUUUGUUUUAGAUUUCUUCAGAACUGCUGGAGUUUGGAUUUGCAUAUGUUCAGGAUAUUUAUUUGUUUGAUCUUAUGGAUAUUUAGGUAUGAAUCGGCAGAAGAUUGUGCAGACAAUGAUGAAGCAAAGCAGGUUAAUAAGUGACAUUUUCUUUGUUCUUUAUUGUGCUAUAGAUUGGAAUUUAUCAUUGUACAUUAUUUUUGAAAAUUUUUUAUGUGCAAUUUUAUUGUUGGAUUUUCUGCUGUGUAUGAGAAUCAUUUGAAUGCUGAGAACCUAUUAUAUUCGCAACGUGAUAUAAGAGGUCAACACCUUCAUCAGUAUGUAAGUUUCUCUAAUAAAUACUUUGGACAAAUGCUUUAUGAAUUUGAGUUUUUAUCUUUUGAUUAUUUUUUGCAGAGGUGGUAUUAAUUUUCCUUUUACUAGAAAUUUAGAGGCUUAAGGUACAAUGUUAUCAAACUCAAUUUUUCUAAUUUUUUGAUUCUGGGGUACUGCAAAGAGUGCUAAUAUACUGUUUUUUCUAGGAUUUUUGGUCUUUGAAAUGGGUAUGUUAUGUUUUUAACGUUUCGGUUCUCAUAUGUUCCACUAUUUUAUCUGUUGUUUGCCUGCUUCUGCGUUGCUUCUUAAUUUUCAUUUUUCAACGUUGGGUGAUGGAAAUUUGUAAAAAUAGUUGUACUUUCUGAAAAAGUUGGGGGUUUUAGGGGUUUUAGUUAUAUUUCCUCUGUAAUCCCAAUUGUAAGACUUAAAAAAUAAUUGCAAUGAUGGUUUUUUUUUAUUCAAUUUCUCUUGAAUGUUUUUUCUUGAAUUUAAAAGCAUCUUUCCAGAUUGGUUACAAUGAUUAUGUUCUCUCUAAUUAGUUCUUUUAUAUUCUCUUCAACCUUUUUGUCUAAUUUUAUUUUUCAUUUUUUGUGUGGCUUUCUGUAGAAAUUAGCAUGAGAUUUUCAGAUGACAUGGAUGAUGAGUAUGAGAAACUCAUCUGGGGAAUGAACCCACCAAGGUACAUGCAAAAAUCAUUCCUUUGGGUUCAUAUAGAAGUAUGAAUUUUCUUUUAGCAUAUAACAUUGACGCAAUAAUUUAUCUCAUGGAAUGUAAGAUAUCUUAUGAACUUUACCUACCUAGCAAACAACGGCUGAUGUCACUUUCGAGAAGCUGAGAUCAGCUUACGGCAUGUCACAACAGUCCCACAAGCAGACGCCCAAACUGUAUACAUCACAUAAGGCAAGUUUCAAUCUUUUUAGCUUCCAAUUAAUAUUUCAUGCUAAAAUUUGAUUGAAUUUAGUUUGGGUGUUUGGUUUCAGAUUUCUCGAGUCGAAUUGCAACCUGGGUAUGAGGAAAAAAAAAAAAACAAAGGAUUUGAUCUUUGGUUACAAGGUGACUUCACCUCUCUCUUUCUGAAACUCAAUUUUGAAGUUGUUGUCCAUAUUUAUUUUUUCACUAUGGCAUAGGUCCUCUAAAUAUCAGCUUUUUAUUUUGUCUUAUGGUUUUAUCAUCGUAUAUCAUGGUUGACUGUCUUUGUUUUCUUAUGCAGUUGCAUGGAGAGCUAUGCAAGGUACUCUCUGCAAUUUAUUGCAAAAUAAUGUCAAUGUCAAUUUUUCCUUCUCUGGAAGUAGCUCGACGUAGGACAAGUUUGGUAUCCAAACUGUUCGUUGCAUGUAGCACUUGAAACGACUUAAGAAUGUUCUUCAGCAUUGCUCAGAAUGUAGUGAACAUUAUUUGGUAGGUAUUCCCUCAAUAUUGCAUUUGUAAUUUAUGCAGUAUUGCUACACCAACUUUUCAAGUAAAAAAUUAUUUCCCCCCUCUAUUCUGGUGUUUAAAUUUGUUUCAUUCAUGAUGAGUUUGUGUAUAAAUUGUACUGUGUGUAUAAUAGGCAAAAUAUUUUUUAUUGUUUAAGCUAUAAUGGAAUCGCAAAUUUAUCAAUUAUAUCCUAGAUUCUUGGUUGCAUAUUCACCUACCCACAACUAUUGCCUUCUGUUUCUUGAUUGGAUAAAUUUUUAUAAUUUCUAGAUCUACUAUUGCAAUGCUUUUGCCGUGUUAAAGUGGAGUUGCAUAUCAUUUUUUUGGUUCACGAAAUUCAUUAUCUGACUAGCUUGGCAAUUAAGUGAUGUAUUUUAUCCGCUCAGGUGAUGUCAAUGGAUCUUGAAGUUGUUGCAGCAAGCUUUAAUUCAUCAGUGUCUCGAUCAUUGUUCCUAUCUGUUGGUCGAAUGGUGAUGUGAGUUAUAUAUAAUUUUAAAUUUUACAUCUUGAAGACUAAUCUUAAGUUGUUUAAUGAUGUUUAUGAAUGCCCUUUAGAUUUCCACAUUUGUUGGUUUCAUUUCUGUAGUUCUAUGGGUGACACGAUUAGAGGUACCAUAGGAAGUUGCAGAAUUUCAUGCGCACUAUUAAGGUUGGACUCUUACUCCCACACACCUCAUUUUUCUUGAAUGUUGACCGGGUUGUAAGUAUUGCUAUUUCUAUAUCAGUUUGUUGAAAUUGGCAAAAACAGCAUGGUUAAGGGGUGGUUUGGGAGUGAGGUGCUUAAAAAAAACACUCAUGAAAAAAAGUUGUGAGGGUUUUAGGUGUUUGGUAAACUAAAAAAAAAAGGCUUAUUUUGGAAGCUGCUGUGAGAAUAAGCUGAAAUCAAAGGAAAAAGCUGAAGCUGCUAUUUGCAGCUUUGGAAAACUGGCUUUUUUUCAAAGCACACGGAGCUACAGUGCUCCUUUAAUGAAAAAACCCACUAUCAGACUGCUUUUUUUUUCAAAAGCACUUUUACAAAAAAGUUUACCAAACACUCUGCUGAUUUAUUUUACAGCCGCUUAUUCUCACAGCACAGUCGCUUAUUCUCACAGCAGCUUUUUUUCAAAGCACAGCGAUACCAAACCAGCCCUAAGUAUGAGUUCGAGAAGAAAACUGGCCUUGUAGUUGUAAGAUUCUUCUUUUUCUUCAAUUACAGGUUGCAUGUCUAAUUUUGUUGAAUUGCAACUUAAUUGAUGAUUAUCCUUCUAGAUGAAUUGUAACUCAAUUGAUUUUAAUUUUUGUUUUCCAACUUAGUUGAUAUGGAAACUGAACUUUUUAAAACCAUAUUCUAUUCCGUUAUAUUACACUAUUGCGUUUGGACUAGCAAUUUUCAUAAGAUGUCACCUAUAAAGUUUGUUGCUUAAUCAUGUCAUAUAUUUUUAUGUUGGAGAUUAUGUAGGUGCUUAGUAUGACGAAAUGGCCCUUGGUUAACUGAGGCGGAAUUCAUGUUCAAUCACCAAAAGUAGAAAUGUUUGCUUCUUUGUUCAAGCAUUUGUUCAAUAAAGAUUGUGGGCAUAGUUGGGAUAGCAUCUCUCACCACUUACGUUUACCAUGCCGCUUUCAUGUUUUUGUACCCAAUUUCAAUUAUCUAAUUAUUAAGAACUUUUUAUUAUAUUUGUUUUAUGAAGAGAAUAAUGUUGCUUACUUUUUCAUACAAUUUUCACUCAUGCGGCAACGCGCAGGUGCAAUUUCUAGUAGAAACUAGACCUUACUAAGAUGUACAAAAAUUGGAAGGACACCUCAGGAAAUGGGUCUGCUCUUAUGUGGCGUUUACUGUUUGGUUUAUUUGGCGUACCAGGUGCGAGUUUGUUUUUAAUCAGGUUCCCAUUCUUCCUUUUAAGGUCCUGUUGGGGGUGUCUUCGGCUGUCGGGGCUUUCUGGGAAGCCAUGGGAUGGUCUGGAGGUGGUGCAGCUCGGCCCUCUGCCCGCUGUGGUCCGAUUCCUCUAUGGAUCCCUCCUCCUGAUUCUUUUGUUAAAAUUAAUGUUGAUGCUAGUUGGUCCCAUGCAUCUCGUUCGGGUUUUGCUGGUGUGGUCAUUCGUGAUGCUUCUGGUCAGUUUGUGGCUGUUGAGCGUUUUGCCUUGUCUACUCCCUCUGUUGCGGUGGCUGAAGCGACGGCUUUGCUGUGUGGCUGUAAGUUGGGGUCCUCGUUGGGCUUUAAAUCGGUAAUAGUGGAAUCGGACUCUAAGGAGUCCAUUGAUUGGCUUUCUGGAGAUGUUGAGGUUGGCAGUUGGAAAGCCUUUCCUGUCCUGACGAGAGUUAAGGUGGAGAGUGAUGCUUUUCAGUUCUGUCGCUGGUCUUGGGUGCCAAGAUCAGCCAAUGGUGCCGCUGACUUUCUGGCGUCGCGGAGUUUUCCGGAGAUGGGUUCUCGGGUUUGGGUUCACAGGCCCCCAUCUUCUCUGGUCUUUGUUUUGAAUAAGGAUGGUCUUCCUUGCCCUCCUUAAUUUUGUUUUGGUGGUGGUGGGGGUGACGCUCGUUGCUGGUGCGUCUGCUUGGUGUAUCCCCUAUCUCUUCUUUCUGUGUUGUUUGCCCUUGUGGUGUUAGCCUCCUGGUAGGCUUCCUGUGCUGUUUGUUUGUUUGUUCCUCCUUUCAAAAAAAAAAAUUGGAAGGACACCUAGGUUCAAGCCAAAAAUAUUGGGAGCAUGAAUUUUUAAAAUUUUGGUAACAAGAGACGAAGAUUAUAAUAAGAAUCCAAUGAGUAAUUUCCAAUAUGUAAAUUUACUUAAGCCAAAAAAGAGAGGCUGAAAAUAGAGAAAAAAUGGCUCACAAUGCAUGCUGGCUCAUGAUUGUAAGGGUAUUUGAAUGCAUGCUAAGCUACUAAGCUUCAUACACUUUAAGUGUGGGAAUUUUGUGUUGAAUUGAAACCAGUGUUGGUAAUUUGGUAUUGAAAUAAUGCAAGCUUAUGAAUGUUGUGUUUAAUUGGUAAUUGUAGACAUCGAAAUUUCGGUAAAUAAAUGUUGACCGAUAAAUCAAAGUGUCAACACUCAUGUAUUACAUAAAUUUUACACGUAGCGUGUGACUCAACGAAAAUUGAAAUGAGUUGGAAAAGUCAUCAAACAGGACACGUGUCAACACCUGGCAGAAAUGACUUAUUUCAUCUGGGAUAUUAUAUUCAAAAUUAGGCCUUGGAAAAUUCUAUAAAUACAAGCCCAUUUCAUUCAUUUGAAUGGGAGGGACCAAUUCAUAUUACACCUUGAAGCUCUGAAGCUCUGAAACUCCGAAGCUCUCAAGCAUCCAGGUUCCCGAAGAAUCAAGAAAGUGUUCUUCGUUCUUCGUUCUUCGUUCAUCGUUCUUCCAAGAUCAAGCCCCAACGGCCCUUUGGAUCAACAAUCAUCCACCAAUUCAAGAUCAAGCCCCGACGGCCCUUGAAGAAAGCACCAUCGUUCAUCAACAGUUCAUCCAAGAUCAAGCCCCAACGGCCCUUUGGAUCAACAACGUCGACAAAUCCACACACAUUCAACCGUUCUUCAAGAUUAAGCCCAAAAGCCCUUGAAGAUCUGUUCAUCACUGUUUCUUCAAGAUCAAGCCCAAAAGCCCCUUGAAGAUCCGUUCAUCACCGUUAUUCAAGAUCAAGCCUCAACGGCCCUUGAAGAAACACUCAUCCUCAAGACCAAGCCCCAACGGCUCCUUGAAGAUUCGCUCAAAUCCACCUUCAAAGAUCAAGCCCACGGCCCUUUGAAGAAACUUCCAACAGUUCAUCCAAGAUCAAGCCCCGACGGCCCUUGGAUCAAUCGCACAUCCAUCACAAAUACACACCUUACGGAGAUCGAAUCAGAGGAUCAAAUUAGAGAGAGAUUGUAACCCAAAAUCAUCAAAUACGAAUAUUUGUUUAUGCACGUCGUUCUUGUCUCUUUCGUUUCAGGAAUUUUCCGGAGAUCGAAUCAGAGGAUCAAAAUAGAGAGAGAUUGUAACCCAAAAUCAUCAAAUACUUAAUAUUUGUUUGUGCACGUCGUUCUUGUCUCUUUCGUUUUUAGGAAUUUUCCGUGUUCACAGUAAUAUGAGAGUAGUUCAAUUUCUUAUAAGCACAUGCAAGAUCCCUUAUUUUCCCAAUGUGAGAUUCACUCUCAACAUGUUCCCUCACAUAUGGUGGGUUUUCAAGUCUAACAUGUGGACAACAAAAAUCGGGUGACGUGGAGCACGUGUGACCGUUAAGCUUCACAUAGGAUAACAUGCUCUAAUAUCAUGAAGAAAGUUAUGGUUCCACCACAAAACUAAUUGACGAUAUAUAAAGUAGUCUAAUCUCUUAUAAGCACAUGCAAAAUCCCUAUUUUCUCUAAUGAGAUUCACCCAACAUAAGCGUUAGGUAAAAACAACUAUUGAUGUGGGCACAUGUUUUAAAUAUACCAAAUGUUGUAUAACAGAAAAACAAACAACUCAUGAAUUAUCUUUGUGUGUAGUGACCAUGGUUGUCCCAAAGUCUUUCAAGAAAAAAGCAAAACAAAACAAAACUGCAAAUGAAUUGAUAGAAAAACAGUUUCUUUGGAAACAAAGUGGGAGUAAGUCUGCAAUCAAUAGACGUUCCCUCCUCGAUUCUUGUAAAGCAGGGAGCCUUGUUGGCUUGGGCUCGCCCUCACUGCAUGCAUCUUCUUUGCAUUGGAAACGUAUACAACAGAGCAAUCAUCUACCAAUUCAUUAGCAAUAUAUUGUUCUUUUCUCUCAGGAUACUAAAAAGCCUUUAACUUAUGCAAAUAAGGAAUGCCCUAUCGUCGGCGUCUCCGCUGCAAAGGAGAUGGAUUAAUUGAGGAAGAUAAAAAAAAAUAAAAAUAAAAUAAAAGCAAAGAAAAAUUGACACAGUUAUGUCAUAUUAGUGCAUGACAUUGAUAAAAAACUUAAAAUAGGAAUAAGAAGCCGAUUCAAUCGGCGUUAUAAUUCUUAAUUACAAAGGAGGGAGUGGAUUCGACAAAGCAGAAGGAAUAGUACUGGAUCUCUGGUGCAAAGGGGGAAGGGGAAGGGGAGGAUCGAACUCUUGUUCUCCACAAUUGCCAAUCUUUCCUAAGCUAGUCUCUUUUCCAACCUAAGAUGUCAUGUCACAGCUCGUCCCAAAAUAUUAUAAUUCUAGACGUGAGAUUACUUAUUUACCCUUGUAUGUUUUGUGUGGUUUUUGUGGGUGAGGUUUUAUAUGGAAAAAUUCUAAAUUUUUCCUACGUUUUUGGAACACUUAGGAAUUAUUUUGAUUGUUUGGUUUUGGUUGAGGACCACAUGUGCCACACAAACAUACACAUUUUCACUCUCUCUCUCUCUCUUCUUCCCGUGCACUCUCUCUCUCUCCUCCUUCUUGACUUUCUCCUGUUUUCGUCAACCUCGUACGGACGAACCGCAAGUUCACCAUUCACACACGGAUCAACAUUAAAAAGGUAAGGAUCUUGUUCCCUACAAGCUUUUGAGUACAUUCGUACCAUUUUUAGGACCUGGAAACCUUAAAAAACCCGAGAACUCUAACCUCCAAUUUGGUGCACUGUUCAUGCACACGUAAAUGUGAAGGUUUCAGUGGAUUUUAAGCUCACAGGGAGCUUUAGAAGGUCCCUACGAAGCUCGGAGAAGAAAAACCAAGCAAUUUGGACGUCAGAAUCGUCAGUUUCAAGCUUGACCGGUUUUUCUCGAAAUUCUUCGGUGAUAUCCUAUGGGAUUUAGGUCCUAAAACUGGUAUGGGUUUGUUCUACUUGUUCUAAGCUUCAUUUUGACAUUUAAUUCGUGAAAUUUGGUUGAAAAUCGAGCAAGAUAUUAAGGUUUAAAGAUUUCCCAGUUUUCGUCGCCAGAGUCCUAGGGUUAGGGGUGACGGAAUAUUCUAUCAAAAUUGACAGAAUAUUCCUAACGGCGUUGGUCAGUUUUAAUGGUUUCCGUUACUUUUAACGGAAUAUUCCUAACGGCGUCAUUGUUACCGUCAGUGUGCUUGGCAUGUAUCCGCGUGUGGGAGGCGCGUUUGGCCAUGCCUUGGCCGGCGUGUGGGUGGUCAGAAAUUUAAAAAAAAAAUAUGGGAAUGUUCGUGAAGUUGUGUAGAUCACGUUGGUAUAUUCAAACACCCUAUUUGAGCAUUGUAUGAGAAGUUAUUAGCUAGUAUUGGUUAGGUGCUUUAAAUUAACGUUUAUUCAGUUAAUUCGCAUAUAGGUGAGACUUAUCCUGAUGACGAGCGCAGUCAAGGGCGACUCGGGGGCUACGACCCUUCGACAUACCAGUUAGUGGGCUUUUGGUUUUCAGUAUAUAUUUAUAUACUUGUUAUUUUCCCAUAAAAUGCGUUUAAAUGAAAGUAUGCCUUGAAUGCGUUGCAUAUAAAAUUAUAUUUUGUAAAUGAAAUAGUAUAUGAUGCAUGAUAUAUAUAAUUGUGGUGUUGUGGAUGCUUAGGUAAGCCCAUGUGAGUUAUGUAUUGUGAUGUGAUUUAAGUUGUGAUUAAUUGAGAAACAUAGAGCUCAUAAACCUGCACCUAGGGUGAUUGUGAUUAGUCAGAGAUAUGGCACAUGCCUGUUAUUAAUGUCACCUCCCGCACCAUAUGCUCACAUUGGAUCCAAUUUAGGUGCACAGUCUUGUCGUAUAGACCAUCAUAGGUGGUUCCAACUUGUAGGUGACUAGCGAUUUAUCGUCCAUCUAUUAUGAGAAAGUAGUAUUGAGCAUAAUUAUAUUACACCCAAUAUUGUCGUACAGACCUUUUCAUUGGUUCCGACUCGAGUGCAGCAUAGUACAGUAUAGGUUAUUGUAGUGACUCCGGCUAGAUUUGAAUAUUGAGCUAUGAAUUCAGCCGAACAUACUUAUGCAGGAGUUCCGGCUAAUAUGUUAUAUUUCCAUGAAUUUAUUCUCACCUGAAUUACUUACUCUGUUAUAUCUUGGCAUGGCAUACUUAUGAUUAUGAAUAUGUGAAGCAUGAUUUGAAUUGAUAUAUUUUCAUAAAUAGUUAUGUAUAUGCUUAUAUUCUAUUUUCUAGGAAAAAUUAUACAUGUUUUACGACGAGGGGUUAGAAAUGUUGAGAAAUAAAAUGGUUUUGUAAAACAUUUGUUUUUGCCCACUCACGUUUUUUGUUUUGCGCCCCUCCAGGUUUUAGUAGACUACUGUUGGUGGCGUGCGAGGAUCCCAGCAGUUCUGACAUAUUAAAAUAAUUGUAGGACAUCUUAUAGUACUGUAUAAUUAGUACUUGUCAUACUGGACUGCACCUAGACUUUUUAUGCUCUGAUUAGGAGUAUUUACUUUUGUAUCUUACUCCUAACACUUUCUGUUUAUUAGUGCACUCUAGUAGUUUCGAUUUUUAAUUAUUCAUAUAUUUCUUAUCCUUAUUGCUUCCGUACUGUGCACAUGACUACGUCACCCUCACAUGACGACCAGCAUGCUCUGAUCUCAGUCGGGGUGUGUCAUGUCCACAAUUGUCAAUCUUUCUCAAGUGCGGUUUAUUUUUUCUCGAGUUAUUUAUAGGCAUAUGGCUUUUGAAUAGUAUCAUUACAUUUCUUAAUGAUAUUUUUCCAUCCAAUUUUACUAACAUGACCAACUUUUCAAUUUCCGAUUAAUGUCUCAUCUACACAAAUACUUAUAAAUGCCUCAAUAGUUGCAUUAUCCCAUAUUGCCUUACUCUUCUUUUCGUUAUUAUACCCGUGUUCAAAUUCUCUACACCUAUUUUGUGUGGUCUUUUAUUAUUGAUUGAGACGUAUUAAGUUUAUGACAACAGAGUUAAGAAGUAAGUUAUAAACAUGUGUCAAUCAAUGAUAAAUGCUACAAAAAAACCACACACAAAAUAAAUGUAGAAAAUUUGAAUUCAUUGUCCCCAUGUGCAUCUUGUGAAUCCUUAACCACAUUUUUUAGAUAUUUAUAUCUCGAGUAAGAGAAAGAGAACAAAAAAAACAUAGAACAUGAUGCACUAUUAAUUAAUUAUGUCCUAGUUAACUAGGCAUAGACCCAAAAUUACAAGCUUAAAAAUAAAAAAUAGGAGCAGUCAUAGAAAGCUAGCAGACACAAAGAACAAAUGAGAAAGAAAAGUAAUUUUAGGCCUUAUGACACCUCAUCUGUCAAUCACAAGUCCGAAGUACUAACGUGGGUUUAGAGUUUUCAAGUCAAAUUCAAUCAAUGCAUGAUGACUGGACCACUCAAUUUACCAGUUACGGGCAAUAGACAUUUGAAAUAAAACUAGCAUUUACAAAAUAGUUAAAUUCAAAUGUAUGUGCAUGAAGAUGGAGAGAGGCUUGGGAAAGAUGCAGACCAAGAGAGCGACUGCUUCAGUCUUCAGCACGAUAUGAAAAACUCACGGGUUUUUUUUAUAGAGAAUUUUAACGAAAAGUUUAUGGUUACUUGAACGAAAACUUAUAUUUUUACACUAAAAAGUCAAUCAUAAUAUUAUUCACUUUACCUUUUAUUUUAUCCUUAUUGUUAAAACUCAAAAUUUUCAAAUUAUUUUCAUUAAUUUUUAUUUUUUUAUAUAGCAGCGUUAAACCUAGAAAAAAUUGGUAAUUUUGAUAUUUUCUCAAAGUCUGAAGGCAUUUUAGACUUUCUAAAUAAAAAAUUAGGAAUAGUUUAGGAACUGAAAAAGUUUUAUUAAAGGGAGCCAAAUAAUUCUCGUGUUUUCACCCGGUAGCACAUUUAGGAGGAGGUGUUUCUUUAAAACCCACUCCAAUUGCUUCUAUUUUUAACUAAAACACUUGUUUGACAAAAAAAAAAAAAAAACCUAAGACACUUGUAAAUUUUUGGCCAAACAACCGUUUCCCAAAAUGAAAACGCUUUUAUGACUUAUUUGGAAGUAUUUUUAAACUGACUGAAAUCACUUUUAAAGAAAAAUAUUUUUAUGUCCAAAAGCACUUCAAGUGCUUUUACAAGAUUAACUUGCAUUUUUACUAAAGAUUAACUCUAAAAACGUUUUUACGAAAAUCACUUUCAGCCAAUUACAAAACACUUUAAAAAAAUGUCUUUAGUCACUAAAAAGCACUUUUAGGUUUAACUAUCCAAAGCACAUGCCAGCAAACCCUAAAUUUUUAACCCCUAUAUAUUGACCAACUAGGGUAACUUCUCAUCCUUUGUCAUCCCAAUAAGACUUGGCAUUUUGGACCCGACCUGUUAAACCGACCCGACCAGACCCGACCCGACCUGACCCGUUAAUAUUAGUAUUUUGGUGGAUACUUAACGGGUCGGGUAGCUAAUGGGCGGGUGAACCCGUUAACAACUCGUUAAAUAAUGGGUCACUUUGAGUCAACCCGUUAGACCCGUUAACACCUAUUAGUUGAGGAUGUUUUAGUAAUUUCAGUAAAGUCUUAACAAUAAAAAAUAAACUCUGAAAAAAAAAUAAUAAUAAUAAUUGUUAACGGAUGAAACGGGUGACUCGUUAGCUUAAUGGGUCUGGUUCGGAUGACCUGUUAACUUAACGGGUCGGAUUGAACCCGAUCCAAACUCGAUAAACCCGACCCGUUUACAGGUCUAAUCCCAAUUGUUGAUGCACCCUUUGCACCCUCCUACAUUGCUUCUUUCUCCUCACGAUCCUCGCAGUUUCCUCUUGAGGUAAUAAAAUAAUGAGUAAUGUUAGGAAAAUUAAAUUUGUAAACUAAAUUAACAAACCAAAUGAGAUGUCAUCAAUAGAAAAUAAGCACGUUUAUCAACAAUUAAUUAAUAAUCCAAUUACUAACUUCCAUGUCAUUUAGUUUACAAAUUUUAGUCUACAAAUUUAGCUUUCCUAGCAUUACUCUAAAAUAAUUAUCCAUUUUAUUUUAUUAUUUAUCCUCUUUCAACUCUUGUCACACAAACCGCAAAACUAGAAGCAACUCGUUAAUAAAGUAAAUUUAAAUAAUUAAAGAAGGGUGGUUUUAUUAGCACCCCACAAUAUUAUGUAUACACCCCACUUUCUUUUAUUUGAUUUGGACACCUUCUUUUAUUUGGUUUGGACUUCCUUUUUUACCCUAUUUAAAUUAGAUAAAAAGCAAACAAACAAAAUCAACAUCACCUUCCUUGCCAUAUUACUCCUCGACAGCCACCCACCAUGGUGGCACCUCCAUUAACAAAAUGAUCUCAAGUAUACCAAAACAUAUGCCGGCUUACAAUUAAACUCAUAGAAAGUCAAUUCAUAGUCACUUACAAUUAAAUUCAUAGAAAGUCAAUUCCUAGUUGACUAUAGAAGGAUCGCUUCUCUGCAAGUAUCAUUUUUCCAUAUUUUUCCCGCCCAUCAUGUAGGUAUCCUUGAUUAGGCUGAUUUCGGCAUUAAAAUUUCAAUUUUAUGGUAUUCCAUGUCUUGUAGAAUAUUAGCAGAAGUGAGAAUUCUAGAGAGAGAGAACGAUGGGAAUGAGGUGGCUAUCAUUGGUUGACGACAUUGACGAAGAAGGUGGCGGCGGGUGAGCGGUUGAGAUAGGGUAUUGGAAGGUUUUCAUUUGUUAAUUAUUGUAAAAAGGUGGGUUGUCUUCAAUAAAUAACAGCGCAAAAAUUGGAAUUUUAGAAAAUAAUUUUGAACUUGGGGUGUAUUCAUAAGAUCGUGUGAUGUUAAUAUAAGAACCCUUAAAGAAACACUAGCAGAAAAAGAAGCCCUAACCUUCUCUACUUUCUAGCUUCUAGAACCUUCUUUUGUUCCUGUGUUCUUUCCAGACCGUUAAACCCUAACCCUAAAGAUAUUUUAGGUUUUAGAUCUAGGGUUUUUGAGGUUUGGUGGUGACUGGAGCUUGGAUUUUAGUUUCAUUUGUUGACUAAUACUCUUAUUUUAAUUUUGAAGUUUUAACGAAACAUUCCCCAUACUGUUCAUUUUUAAUGAAAAACCACAUUUUUAUCUUUUUCUGAUACUAUUCACUACAUAUUUAUUUAUCAUUUUUCAUUAAAACUAAAAGAGUUAUUAUACAAAAUAGUCCCUGAGAUUUGCAUGAUCAAUAAAAAUGGUUCCUAAGAUUGAAAAUCAAUAGAAAUGGUCCCUGAGAUUGUCCACAAUCCAUGAUUUUGGUCCUUUCGUUAAAAACUCUUUGGGGAAUUUUCAAAGCUUUGUAACUCAAUUGUUUCUUAACCAAAUUCGACCCAUAAUAUAUCAAAAUGAAGAUAGGAAAGUGUAGAAUAAGAUUAUACCUAUUUGGAAGCCCAAUGAUUUCCAGAGAUGGCCGGAAAAUAGCCUGAAAUGUGACUGGUCCGCGGGAAAACUGGAAAACUCGCCGGAAACUGGGUAAACUUUAAACGUUCAUAACUUCUUCAAUACUCAACGAAAUCGAGUGAUUCAAAAACGAAAAUCAUACUUCUUGACGAGACUAAGAGCAUAGUACCUUUUCGAAGAUUAAAUAGCUUUGGUUUGGUCGGAAAAUGGCUCAAAAGUGGCUAACCAUUUUCGAGUUAGCCACUUUCGAGCAGUUUUCCGGCCAAAUCAUGGCGAGUCAGCAGUAAAAAAAGAUUCCAUUCUCUUUGUCUCAUCGAGAAUUAUGAUUUUCAUUUUUGAAUCACUCAACGCAUUUUUGAAUCACUCAACUGCGUUGAGUAUUGAAGAAGUUAUGAACGUUUAAAUUUUACCCAGUUUCCAGCGAGUUUUCCCGUUUUCCCACUGACCAGUCAUCUUUCAGGCUAUUUUCCGGCCAUCUCCGCCAAUCAUUGGGCUUCCAAAUAGUUAUAAUCUUGUUCUACACUUUCUUAUCUUCAUUUUGAUAUAUUAUGGGUCAAAUUUGGUUGAGAAUCGAUUGAGUUACGAAACUUUGAAAAUUGCCCAAAGAGUUUUUAAGGAAUGACUAAAAUCAUGGAUGAUGGACAAUCUCAGGGACCAUUUUUAUUGAUUUUAAAUCUCAGUGAUCAUUUCUAUUGAUCAUGCAAAUCUCAGAGAUUAUUUUCAAUCUCAGGGAAUCUGAUUUUGCGAGGGAGAAUGAGGUCGUGGGGGAUUUGGAAGGGAGGGUUUUGGGGAAAUUGGAGAAUUUUAGGGAAGAAGAAGAAGAACCGGAGUGGGGUUGAUGUACGGAUAGGAAAGAGAGAUGAGGCGUGGGAGGGUAGCGUUGGUUGAAACUUGAAAGCUGGAAAAAGUGGUGAGCGACGGAAAAGGUGGAGGAAGCUGGGAGUCCCAGGUGUCACAUAAUUCAUCCCAAUUUGACAGCAAGACAAAAGGCCAAACUCGGAAUACCAUAAAAUAAUCGGGGGUAAAAUCAGAAAUCCACUGUACUAUGAACAGUAUUUCAGUUCAUUUUCUCUUUUAGUAUAUAUAUAAUUUGAUGAGAUUAUGUUUUUAAGUAAAUGUUAUGUUCUUUACUAGGCUGUUUGGAUGCAAUUUGAUUACAUUUUCCGUUCGAUCUGCAACUAAUUUUCCUAUGCCUAUUGCAGCAAUGAUACCAAUCCCAUGGCGCUGAAGGCAGAGGAGAAUGCAAGUCUGCAACGCGAGAUGAAGUUGUUUAUGGCUACACUAAUUGCCAUGGCAACCUUCUAUGCUGGACUUUACCCUUCACGCGCUCUUGUUAAGAACCAGUUCCUUUUCCAACUCUUUGAAGUUUUCAAAGCCACAGGGUUUUUCAUCUCCAUUUGGAUGAUGAAAAUCCUCAGCAGGGGUUCCCCGAUCAAGUUUACAUUGAAGCCGCUCCUCCCUUUACUGUGCCUUGUUUACAUACUGUGCAUUGCUGUCACAUUAAAAAGCACUUCUAAGUUUUAACCAUCCAAAAGCACAUGCCGGCAAACCCUACAUUUUUAACACCUAUAGAUUGACCAACUAGGGUAACUUCCCAUCCUUUGGAAAAUGAUGAGAUCCCGUGAUCGUGACCGUUUAUUGUAUAUCAUACGAUCAGAAAUCAUUUAAAAUUUAAAAUUUAAUAUAAAUAAUACCUAAUGAAAACUGAUCGCACGAUAUAUGAUGAACGAUCAUAAUCACAAAAUUCUCAGAAUCUCCAAGAAAAUGAUCCUUUUGUCAUCCCAAUUACCGCUGCGUCAUUUUCACCCUCCCACAUCCCUUCUUUCUCCUCACGGUCCUCGGAGUUUACUCUUGAGGUAAUAAAAUAAUUAUCCAUUUUAUUUUAUUAUUUAUCCUCUUUCAACUCUUGUCGCACAAACCGCAGCACUAGAAGCAGCUUGUUCAUAAAAAGUAAAUUUAAAUAAUUAAAUAAACACUAGUAGAAAGAGAAGCCCAGACCUUCUCUACUUUCUAGUUUCUAGAACCUUCUUUUGUUCGUGCGUUCUUUCCAGACCGUUAAACUCUAACCCUAGAGAUAUUUUAGGUUUCAGAUCUAGGGUUUUUGAGGUUUGGUGGUGACUGGAGCUUGGAUUUUAGUUUCAUUUAUUUACCAAUCCUUAUUUUUUUGUCAAUGAAUUGUCAUUAACGAUUUUAUCUUGUUCUGUUUCAGAUUCUUGAUUUUUUUUUUAUGAACAUGGCAAAGAGGUCAUUUUUCUUUUUUAUUUUGUUUUAUCUUUGAAUGUUUUUGUUUUAGUAUAUGAUUGUUUUGAACUUGUGAUGUUACUCUGCAUUUUUUUUGCCAUUUAAGUCAAUGUGUUCUCUGAACAAAAUAGAGGAUUAGGCAAGAUUAGUCUUCCAGUGUUAGUCUAAAAGACGUUGGAACUUCAUGUAUUAGAUUAUGAUUGUCGUAAACUAGUGAUGCUACUCUGUUUUGUUUUUGUUUUUGUUUUUUUUUUUACCCUUUGAGUAUAUGCGUUCUCCGAAAAUAGAGGAUUAGGAGAGAUUAGUUCUUCAGUGUUAGUCUAAAGGACGUCAGGGCGCCAUAUUUUGAUUAUACGUGUUGUGAAACUUGAGAUGCUACUCUGCAUGUCAUUUAAGUAUAUGCAUUGUUUGAAAAAUAGAGAAUUAGGCGAGAUUAGUUAUUUAGAGUUAGAAGUAAUGCUAUUGGCCUUAACUUCUGCUUUGGUUGGCUUGGGUAGGCUGACCGGCAAACCAGGGUAUGUUCUUUGCCAGGUUUAUGUUAAGAGUUAUCCCACAUUGGUGAGGGACAAUGUUUGCUAUGUACUUAUAUGAUCUUGAGUCACUCCAAUAUUGCUAAUUGGUUUUAUGGUGGAACCCCAAUUUCAUCAUGGUAUCAGAGCAAGGUUGUCCACGUGUGAAGCCCAACGGCCACACGCGCUCCACGUCACCCAGUUGUUAUUCACGUGUAGGCUUGAAAAUCUGCCACACGUGCAGGAGCGUGUUGAUGUUGGGAAAAAAACUUAGAGUACACAACUCUAACACAAGUAAACAAAUUACUUGUAUUACACACACAAAAUAUUACAACACUCACAAUGACACAACUUUAGAAGCAACGACACUCACUCACUUUCUAGAGACACACUCUAAAUCACUCACACUCCUACAAAACUAUUCUUGCUUCUCACUCUCACUUGGUUGCCUACUACUACUACUACUUGAUUUCUUGUUGGUUGAUAACACACAUACAUACAUAUUUAUAGUGAGGUUUGCCGACUUACAAAGUUGGCUAGAACAUUACAGUGCAAUGGUUAUGCAUUGCACCGACUCACACAUGCAAACCGACUUGGGCUUUUUACAACAGCCACACAAUUUGGCUUUUAGGUCUUUCUACAAUCAAACCAUUCACCUAGAUUUUCUUAAGCCUAAGACGGUGGACAUAGGCUUUUCCACCCAAACACUAAUUGCUGCACUUUGCUGGAGUUUUCUAGCAUAUUCUUAAUAUGCAUGCACCUUUUAUACAUACACCACUGACUAACAAUCUUGCUAGAAUUAUCUAGCAUUUUCCAGCAUGCAUCGGCCACCUUCAAUAUUACUUGCUAGAAUCUUCUAGCACAAUCCCAUGCAUAUUUGAACUAGAAUAAUUUAGUUCAUUUGUACCGACUGAUCUUAAUAGGCUGGUGUUGAUCUUUAACAGUUGAGAGUUGUCCCACAUUGGUGAGGGACAAAGUUUGCUAUGUGCUUACAUGAUCUUGGGCUACUACCUAUAUUGCCAAUUGGUUUUAUGGUGGAACCCCAAUUUCAUCAGUUUAGAUACAACUGGUUUUAUUGUUGAAUGCUAUUGAUUUAGAUUCGCAAUGUUCCUCUGGUUUUUUUGCCAAUGAAGUAUGUGUUGUUCGAAAACGUUUACGAUUUACAGGUUUGUAUUCUUGUUUUCCCAAAGUUAAUGAGGAUUUGAUGAGGUUAGUUUUUUUGUGUUAGUCGAAAAGAAUCCGGACCACACCACAGUUUUAUAUUCUCAUUUAACUUGUGAUGGUCCUCUGUUAUAGCAUAUAUUUGAUGAGAUUAUGUUUAUAAGUAAAUGUUCUGUUCUUUACUAGGCUGUUUGGAUGCAAUUUGAUUACAUUCUCCGUUCGAUCUGCAACUGAUUUUCCUAUGCCUAUUGCCGAAAUGAUACCAACCCCAUGGCGCUGGAGGCAGAGGAGAAUGCAAGUCUGCAACGCGAGAUGAAGUUGUUUAUGGAUACACUAAUUGCCAUGGCAACCUUCUAUGCUGGACUUUACCCUUCACGAGCUCUUGUUAAGAACCAGUUCCUUUUCCAACUCUUUGAAGUCUUCAACGCUGCAGGGUUUUUCAUCUCCAUUUGGAUGAUGAAAAUCCUCAGCAGGGGUUCCCCGAUCCAGUUUACAUUGAAGCCGCUCCUCCCUUUACCGUGCCUUGUUUACAUACUAGGCAUUGCAAAUAUGUUUUCUUGCUCCUGCUGCACCUGCAGGUUAUGGAUGUGAUAAUGUAAUUCGGUCAGAAACAUGGUAACUCUGUUGUCUAACUGGCGUUUUCGGGCACCUGAAGUUUAUGAAUGUGAUGUAAUUCUGUAGAAACAUGGUACCUUGUUAUGUAACUGGUGUUUUCGAAAACCCGAAGCUUAUGAUGUUAAUUAACUGGUGUUUUUGGGCACCUGAAGUUUAUGUAGUGGAUUUGCAAGAUUUGUGACUACUUGUUUAAUUGCUGUAUUUGAAUACAGUUUCAUCAAUAGAGCAGAUGUGAUUUAGUUCCUUUAGUGAAUGAAAAGUUUUGAUGUAACAGGUUUGAUAGGGGGGAUGCACAUAUAUCCCUAUUACGAAUAACAUAUCUUGAUCAUAAAAAUUAAAUGAUCAGGAAACAUAUCAAGUAAAUGAACGAUUUAUUAUGAAUAUGUUACUUUGUUGAUGCACAAAAUCAGCGAGGACUUUGGUACAACAGAAAGUGUCAGGUUUGUGACCUUCGCUUGGUUGCUUCGAUCACUAGUGAAGAUAAGUACGUAAAUGAAUAGGGACAGGGAAGCAAACACAAGAUGUACGUGGUUCACCCAGAUCGGCUACAUCCACGGAGUAGAGGAGUUCUCAUUAAUUGUGAAGGGUUUACACAAAUACAUAGGUUCAAGCUCUCAUUUUGUGAGUUCUAGUGAAUAGUUUAGUACAAAAUGACAUUAGAGAUUAUUGUGGGAGAAUGAUCCCUAUUUAUAGAAGAGAGUUUCUAGUUUUGUUCUAACAUUGACACGUGUCGUGUUGUGAUUGGCUUCUGAUGUUGACACGUGUCGAGCUGUGAUUGGCUUCUGAUGUCGACACGUGUCGCAUUGUGAUUGGCCUCCUGGUUGAAGGGAAGCUCUUCUGGGUCUUCGACGGUAUAACGUUGACCGGUGCUCAGUAGUUUCGAGAUUGGUCAAGUAUGGUACAAACAGUGCUCCCCUAAGUUCCCGAGUGAGGGAAGCUCCUCGGUUGGGGACUUGCAAGAUCCAAGCCAUUGAGUAAUCACGAAACUUCUAAGUACUGAAGUGUGGUAUCAUUUUCACGUGCCUUAUCUGUCUCAUAUGUAGAUGUGAUAUCUUCUCUGGAAGUACUUUUCCUCCAUCCAUGGAUGGUAUCUUUAACCGAUGAAGAUGCACAAGGUAAUGUAUCAAUUUCACUUGAAGCUUACUUGUAGUUUCGGGCUUGGUCAAGUGCGAUACAAACCCUAUAGUAGGAGUCUCCGAGAGAUAAGAAAAAUAAAUUACAUCACUUUAAAGUAAGGAAAAUAAAUCACAUCAUUCUGGUGGGGUGUUUAUUCCUCACUUUUUCUUUCUGCUUUUGUUUUUGCUUUCUCUUUUCCACCACACAUCUCUCUGUCUCCGUCUUUGCGCUACUGUCCAUUUGUAAAGAGCAUCUUUAGAGGUCAUCACUUAUGAACCCCACGACCACUUUCUUUGAAGGUCAUCAACCCACAUGUGCUUGCAUGCACCCCUCUUUAAGAAAUUCAUAUUCAAUGGUUGCUUUGUCUAUCUCUAUCUCACAUAUUAUAUCACCCACUUCUAUCUUAUCUCCUUUCUUUCUCCACUUAAAAAUGUUUCCUUGACUCAUUGUCGGUGAUAAAGCUGGCAUUUCAACGACAAUGUGAGCAGGAAGUUAUGAUGUGUCGAGCUAGGAGAUCUGCCGAAAGACGUGACAGACAAGGUAAGCAGUCAAACUUCCAAGCAAGCAACCCAGGAUCGGAGGUUCGACUUCGGCUUCCGGUUGAUUAUUCUCCUUCUCCUUGUCUCUCAUUCAGCUGCUAGGAUAAGGAGAAGCAAAUGGAGAAGAGAUGAUAUGAGAUACUUUUGCUUUUGAAGAAGUAACUUUCCACAGGCUUAUUCUUGAACUGUGCUGGAGGGUUUUCUGGUUCCCUUCAGAGUAUAAGGCCGACUCAAGAAUUUGAGGGUCAAAACAAGUCCAUCAAAUCUAGAGUACGUUCGACCUUGAUGAUAUGGGAUACUUUUGCUGUUGACGGAAUACUGAAUGUGGUAUGGAAAGGUGUCGUGCUGUAGUGAUCUGUUUCAGCUCACCGUUGAACCUUCUGCUUCAAUCUUUUGCAUGGCAGAAGUGGUGUGCAACCUUUGCAUUUAAAUGGUCCUUCAGAACAUUCCUUCAUAGUGACUCAUCCACGCUUGGCAGCUUCAGUGUAAAGAGCCAAUAUCUGAUCAACUGUCAUGAGGUAUGUGCCGGUGGAAUUCAUGACCUUGACAACAGUUGAGGAUGAGUUCUCGAGAGCAAUGCUAAGUAAGCAACCAGGCAAAGGUCUCAGGCAGUCAGUUCCAGAUUGGAGGUUUGAUUUCAAGUUCCGACUGACUGCUCUCUUUCUCUUUGUCCUGCAGGUGUGGACAAGGACGAAGACAAGGACAGGGAUAAAGCAUGAUAUGGGAUACUCUUACUUUCGACCCUGAUGAUAUGAGAUACUCUUGUUCUUGGUGUGGCUUAUUUGCUGAGGUAUUAUCAGGGGGAAAUAAAGCUAAGUAUUUCGAGAGGUUAUGUUGAGGGUGCAUUCUCGAAUGCGAGAAAGGGUUAAGCAUUUUUGCAGGUUUGCCUGUCCGUUGAGGAGGGAGGUCGAUGUAUAUAGGGAUUUCCCAAUAACAAGUAGUAAUGUUAUUCCCUUACCCUUCUUGGUCACAGCAAUGUAGUGGGAGCUGCCAGCUUCACGUGUUUUAACUUUGUCAGAGCACUUUGAAAAAGUGGUAUGUGGUAUCUGGAAAGCUAAUGUUGCGUGUGAAGAUUACAGACAAGCUUUAUCUAAGGAAAUCUGGCUCUCGAAGUUCUGAGAGCUGUGCCUCUUCGGUUUUCGAACAAGCAAUCCCGUCGGGGAUCUGGCUCUCGAGAUUCGGAAAGCGGUGCCGCUUCGAUUUUUGAGAAAGUAAUUAUGUUGAGAGUCUUUUCUCGAAUGUGAGUAAAGGUUGGACGUUCUUGCUAGCCUAUCUUGCCACGGAACAUGGAGGUCGACACACAUAGGGACUUUCCAGUUGUCAAGCAGUGGUGUUGUUCCUUUACCCUUGUGGGUAAUAGUAGGGUAGCUGGAACUUCGAAAUUCUCGCGCCUAAACUUUGUCAGAGAUCUUUGGCAAAGUUAUAUGUGGUACCCGAGGAGUUGAUGGUGCGUGUGGAGAGUGGUGAUUGAACAGCAAGAUUCGCGUGCUUUCUACUUCACUAGAAAUCUUUGACAGAUUACCCGUAAUUUCUGCAAAGCUAAGUGUGCAUGUGACAGGUGCUGACGAGGCUGAAAAAGAAGGUGCUUCUUCGAUUUCUGAGAUCGGCCCUCGUGGUCUCUGAGUACCCCAACUUUUGAGAAAGGAAGCGCCUCUUUGAUUUUUGAGAUCGGCCCUCGUGGUCUCCGAGCAGCCCAGCUUUUGAGAAAGCAAACGCCUCUUCGAUUUCUGAAGCUCCGUCGAGUGCAGAUUUUUAUAGAGGCUGGCAUUAAGUUCCACAGCACACUUGAAUCUCCACCAGUAUAAGCUCCCUUCUUGCACUUCUAAGAUCUUGAUUUGUCUGACCUCUUCCCUCUUCAACACCUUUGAAAAUGUUUGGCCCCUCCGACCGUCGUUUUGACUUGAACCUUGGAGAAGAGACAGCCAUGCCUUCUCCAGACAACAUAUGGCGGCCAUCCUUCAUAUCCCCUACUGGUCCUCUUACCGUUGGGGAUUCUGUGAUGAAGAAUGAUAUGACCGCUGCGGUGGUGGCCAGGAACCUUCUCACUCCAAAAGAUAACAGACUACUUUCCAAACGGUCUGAUGAGUUGGCUGUUAAGGAUUCUCUGGCUCUUAGUGUUCAGUGUGCAGCUUCUGUGUCUAAUAUGGCCCAACGCCUAUUUGCUAGAACCCGCCAAGUUGAAUCAUUAGCUGCUGAAGUGAUGAGUCUCAAACAGGAGAUUAGAGUGCUCAAGCAUGAGAAUAAACAGUUGCACCGGCUCGCACAUGACUAUGCUACAAACAUGAAGAGAAAGCUUGACCAGAUGAAGGAAUCUGAUGGUCAGGUUUUACUUGAUCAUCAUCGGUUUGUGGGUUUAUUCCAAAGGCAUUUAUUGUCGUCGUCUUCUGGGGCUGUACCGCGUAAUGAAGCUCCAAAUGAUCAACCUCCGAUGCCUCAUCCUUCUGGGGUUUUGUCCAGUACUGAGGCUCCGGAUAACCACCCUCCGGUGCUUUCUCUUUCUGGGGCUCUACCGACUGCUGAGACUUCCCCUAAGCAACCUUUGUGAAGGCUCCCUCUUGUUUGUUUAUUUUGAUUCAUGUAUAUGUACAUAUUUGUAACUUAUCGGAAAUAUCAAUAAACAAGAUUUGCUUCAUUUCAACGUAUUGUGUUAAAUACACCAAGGCCUUCUUCACUAAGUUCUUUGAAUUUUUCCUUUUGUUGAAGCUUGUAUGUUGAAACUUUGUGAGUGAAGUAUGUAGGUUGAGGUAGUGCUCCCUUAAUUUCCCGAGUGAGGAAAACUUCUCGUUUGGAGACUUGAAAAAUCUAAGUCACUAAGUGGUCGUGAAACUUCCGAGUAUCAAGGUGCAGUAGCAUAUGGUAGGAGUCCCCAAAGACUCUGGUCGAGGGAGUUGACGAAUGAGGCAUUUUCUUUCUAAGUGGUAGCCUAAAACUCCUUCUUCAUAUAUAUUUGUUAUGAAAGUUGUUAGGCCCAAAGAAGAGGAGGCCUAGGCAAUUUUUUUUUUUUUUGAAUUUUUAAUUUUUUGAAUUUUUUUUUUUUUUUGAUUUUUUUUUUUGAUUUUUCAAAUUUCCGGAUUUUUGAAUUUUCGAAUUUCCGAAAAAAUAAAAAUUAAAAAUAAUAUAUAUAUAUAUAUAUAUAUUUAAAAGUUUUGUUGGUGAAGCUUUGGUGUUAAAGCUUUGUAGGUGAAGCUUUGAGGUUGAAGCUUUGUUGGGCAUCAUGAAUUGAUUUUGCUUCACACUAUCUUGAUGAAGAGUGUGUGAAGCUUUUAUAUGUUUUGGUGUUGAAAUUUUGUAUUGUAGGUGAAGCUUUGGGGUUGAAGCUUGAUAGGUGAAGCUUUGGUGUUGAAGCUUUAUAGGUGAAGCUUUGGUGUUGAAGGGUUGAAGCUUUAUAGGUGAAGUUUUUGGUGUUAAAGCUUUAUAGGUGAAGCUUUGGGGUUGAAGCUUUAUAGGUGAAGCUUUUGUUGGCACCAUAAAUUAAUUUUGCUUCACACUAUCUUGAUGAAAAUAGUGCAAAGCUUUUGAGAUUGAUAUUUGUCCUCCAUUGAUGAAGCUUUUGUUGGCACCAUAAAUUGAUUUUGCUUCACACUAUCUUGAUGAAGAUAGUGCAAAGCUUUUGAGAUUGAUAUUUGUCCUCCAUUGAUGAAGCUUUUGUUGGCACCAUAAAUUGAUUUUGCUUUUGUUGGCACCAUAAAUUGAUUUUGCUUCACACUAUCUUGAUGAAGAUAGUGCAAAGCUUUUGAGAUUGAUAUUUGUCCUCCAUUGAUGAAGCUUUUGUUGGCACCAUAAAUUGAUUUUGCUUCACACUAUCUUGAUGAAGAUAGUGCGAAGCUUUUGAGGAUUGUAGUUGUGUUCCAUUGAUGAAGCUUUGUUGAAUUUCCCAAUUUCCAAUUUCCUCUUUUUUUGUUUUUUGUUUUUUUUUUGUUUUUGUUUUUUUUGUUUUUUUUGUUUUUGUUUUUUUUUUUUUUUUUUUUUGGGAAAACUAGAAAUUUGAAAAUGUGGGAGAGACAACGUAUACAAAUUUUGCUUCCAUACUGUUAAGCGAGAGAUUGUGAUGCAAGCCAUAUCUUGUAGUAGUCGAAGGUUUGGAUGAACCAUAUAAAUUGAAUUUGCUUCGAACAGUCUUGAUCAAGAGCGUUUGAAGCUUUCUAUGUGUUGUAGUGUUUGCAUUGUUACAGAGGAGAAAUGUCUGAAGCAGAUGCAAGAGGGCUGAAGAGCUUGAUCUUCGUAUACCAUGCAUUGAAGCCAUUGUUGGCUUGCAAUAAGACUUUGUUGGUGACUAUAGCUCUUGUUAGGCAUAAGUGCUCCCCUAGUUGAGUUGUAAAGCUUGAUGGUUUUUUAUUAUUUGUGAAUGCUAGGAGUUCACAUGUACAAGUUGUACCACUCGUCUUCUGGUUAGUGGAAUGAAUGGUGGGUUGCUUUCAUCACUUGGUUGGUGGUACGAAUGUGAAUUCCUUAAUCACCUUUCAUCACAUUUCAUCACCUGGUUGGUGACAUGAAGAAGAGUACGCGUUGUACAUUUCAUCACCUGGUUGGUGGCAUGAAGGAAAGUACGCGUUGUACAUUUCAUCACCUGGUUGGUGGCAUGAAGAUGAGUUCCUUCUUCACCUGAUUGGUGAUAAGGGUGGCAAGUUUCCAAAUAAUAUUAGAGUACGGGUUGUACAUUUCAUCACCUAGUUGGUGGUACGAAGGUGAGUUCCUUCAUCACCUAGUUGGUGAGAAUAAGGGCAAGGUGUCGAGGCACAUUGUGGCAAAUGUCGAAUGACACAAAGUGUGUUGAACCCUUUCGAAGCACAGUUGGCUUAUGUAUGGAUGUGUUGGAAUGUAUGAUGUUUAUGCAUGAAUGUGUUGGAAUGUAUGAUGUUUAUGUAUGAAUGUAUUGGAAUAUUGGAAUAUAUGAUGUUUAUGUAUGAAUGUGUUGGAAUGUAUGAUGUUUAUGUAUGAAUGUGUUGGAAUGUAUGAUGUAGAUCCUUUGUAUAGUCUUGUUGACACAUACUUAGAUUUUGUUUUGUAUUGGAAACAUUUGCGUUGAAGCUUCAACACUUGAGUGUUUCAUUGCUCAGAAUGGAAAAUAGUUUAUGGCCGAGUUGGCUAAAUCACCUCUUUAUUGAAUUCAUACCAAAUGGUCUUUGUUACAUAGGAUGCCGAACGGCUGUAGCUUAACACUUGUACUAUGUGAGUCUAUUUGUAAUAAUACUUCAAGUGGUCAGCAUUCCAUGGAUGGCCAAGGGUCUUGCCGUCGGAGUUUCUGAGCUUGUAGGAGCCAGGGCGGUUGAUGCCGACGACCUCGAACGGUCCGUCCCAGUUAGGACUAAGUGUUCCUUCACUCGGGACCCUAUCACAGAGUAAUCUUUUCUUCAGUACCCAGUCUCCCACUUUGAAAGAGCGAGGUUUGACCUUUGAGUCGUAGUAGUUGGAAAUGCGCUGCUUGUAGGCGACAUUCCUCAGGUGAGCCUGAUUUCUGUGUUCCUCGACUAGAUCCAAGUUGAGGGUGAGUUGUUUGUCGUUCUCACUCUGCAUGUAAUUCUGGAUUCGGUAUGUUGCUUGCUCAAGCUCAACCGGGACAACUACUUCUGUACCAAAAGCAAGUGAGAAUGGAGUUUCUCCUGUGGAAGUCCGAUAUGAAGUGCGGUAUGACCAAAGAACUUGGGGUACGAAUUCUGGCCAACAACCUUUAGCUUUGUCCAAGCUAGUUUUCAAAAUGCGCUUGAUUAUUUUGUUAACGGCCUCGACUUGUCCAUUAGACUGGGGAUGGGCUGGAGAGGCAAAACAUAAGUUGAUGUUGAACUUAGAGCAGAACAUUUUGAACUUCUUGUUGUCGAACUGCCGCCCAUUGUCCGUGACUAUCGCAUCGGGAAUGUCGAAUCUACAGAGGAUGUUCUUCCAUACGAAGUCUUCUAUUUUUCCCUCAGUAAUGGUUGCCAAGGGUUCUACUUUAGCCCACUUUGUGAAGUAAUCAACUGCAACGAUUGCAUAUCGGACCUUGCCCUUCCCUGCAGGCAUUGGGCCAAUCAAAUCAAGUCCCAAUUGGGCGAAGGGCCAAGGGCUGAUCAUAGGAGUGAGCGGCUUGGGAGGGGAGUGAGGGAUAGUUGCGUAGCGUUGACACUUAUCACAUGAGCAAGAUAUUCUGAUGGCAUCUUGGUGGAGUGUUGGCCAAUAGUAUCCUUGGCGAAAAGUCUUGUGUGCUAGGGAUCGAGACCCAGCAUGAUCUCCGCAGACUCCUUCAUGUAUUUCCCGAAGGACAAUUUCCGCCUCCGCAGGUGUAAGGCAUCUUAGGUAGGGCAGGGUAAAACCGCGCUUGUAGAGUUGGUCAUUAAUGAUCAGGUAGCGAGCAGACUUGUAUCGAAUCUGCUUAGCUUGGACUUUGUCAUUUGGGAGGGUGCCAUGGGCAAGGAAUUUAUAAAUUGGGGUGAUCCAACUAUCUCCUUGUUGUAAAUUGCACACUUCCGCGACCAUGGUGCUUGGUGCUGCCAACAAUUCGACAUGAAUUUUUCUCCCAAUCUUGUCUUCCACUGCCGAGGCGAGGCGGGCCAAAGCGUCUGCAUGACUGUUUGCCGCUCGAGGAACUUGGGUGAUCUGGUAGUGGAAGUGCUUGAGCAAAAGUCGUGUUUGCGCAAGAUAUGCUGCCAUGGAGCUAUCCUUAGCAUCAAAGUUGUUCGUGACUUGGUUGACCACUAAUUGGGAGUCACUGAAGAUAUCAAUUUGUUUAACUCCAAGAUGCUUGGCCAAACGUAAGCCUGCUAGAAGGGCUUCGUAUUCGGCCUCGUUGUUCGAUGCCUUGAAUUUGAAACGAAUAGCUUAUUCUAUCGCCACUUUGUCAGGGGUAGUGAGGACUAAUCCUGCUCCGCAGCCCUGUUGGUUGGAUGAGCCAUCAACAUAUAGACUCCAUGCUGGGGUUGUUGAUUCUAUCUUCUGAGCUUCCGAUGGUAAUGAAGCUAUUGCUUCAGGUGUAGAAGCAAUGUCAACAGGAUAUGUGAAGUCGGCGAUGAAAUCUGUUACUGCUUGACCCUUUUCGGCAGGUUUUGGUUGGUAGGAGAUGUCAAACUCACCCAAUGCUAUCGCCCAUUUGAUCAUUCACCCAGACGUGUCAGGACUCUGGAGUAUAUGUCGAAGAGGGUGAUUGGUAAGCACGAUGAUGGCGUGUGCUUGGAAAUAAGGGCGAAGUUUUCGAGCAGACAUGACCAAUGCUAGAGCUAAUUUCUCAAUGUUGGAGUAUCGUGUCUCCGCAUCUUGUAGGGCCUUGCUAGCAUAGUAAACGGGUCGUUCGACACCACUGUCAUUUAGAAUAAGAACAGAACUGACUGCUGAAGCCGAAACCGAUAGAUAGAUAAUGAGAGUGUCACCAACUUCUGGUUUGGAGAGCAGAGGGGCUUUACUCAUGUAAUCUUUGAGGUUCCUGAAUGCCUUGGCACAUUCCUCCGUCCAUGUAAUGUACUUCUUAUUUCCCUUGAGUGCUUUGAAGAAAGAAACACAUCUGUCUGUGGCCUUAGAGAUGAAUCUGGUUAAGGCUGCCACCUUGCCAGUAAAGCUUUAGAUGUCUUUUGAAGUUACUGGCUCUUUCAUGUCGAUGAUUGCUUUGAUCUUUUCGGGGUUAGCUUCAAUGCCUCGUUGGCUAAUCAUGAAGCCUAAGAAUUUGCCAGAGCCCACGCCGAAGGCACAUUUGUUGGGGUUCAACCUCAUUCAGCAUGUUUGCUCUUGACUAACAUAUCAUCAACGUAAACUUCCAUGCUCUUCCCAAUCUGUUCGGCGAACAUUGAAUUGACCAGUCUCUGAUAAGUUGCUCCCGCAUUCUUUAGACCGAAGGGCAUGACUUUGUAGCAAUAUAGUCCCCUGUCAGUAGUGAAGGCUGUGUGUUCUUGGUCUGAAGGGUUCAUGAGGAUUUGGGUGUAUCCUGAAUAAGCGUCCAUGAAGCUCAAGAGCUCACACCCUGCUGUAGAGUCUAUAAGUCUAUCAAUGAGAGGAAGGGGGAAACUAUCCUUUGGGCAUCCUUUGUUUAGGUCGGUGUAGUCAACACACAUUCUCCACAAGACCUUUUAAAGCAGGAGACUUUCCUUGGUCGGAUUUUUCUUAACAAGGACAACAUUUGCUACCCAUGUUGGGUAAUUGACUUCACGGACGAAGCCUAUGUCCUUGAGUUUUUCAACUUCUGCUUUCAUCGCCUCGUAUCGUUCAACAUCAUAAGAUCUUCGCUUCUGUUUUACUGGUUUGGUCUUGGGAUCAAUACUCAAAUGGUGACAGAUGAUAUCGGGAGAGAUGCCCGGCAUAUCUUUAUAUGACCAAGCGAAGACCUCGGCGUUCUCUUGCAAAAAGGAGAUCAGCGACAACCGAAGGGGUGAUAAAAAAGUGGUGCCAAUCUUCACCAUGCGAUCUGGAUGGUCUUUGGAGAUAGAGACAUUCUCUAACUCUUCAGCGGGUUGUGCUUGCUGGGUGAAUGAGUCAUCUCGAGGGUCGUCGGGUUGACUGGUGCCAUCAUGAAGAUCCGAGUUGGCUUCAUCUGGACUGGUCUUUACUACCUGGUUAUGUAUAGAGAUGGUCUCCUUGGGGACAGGCAGGUGUUGUUGCUUAACUGAAGUGUUGUAACAUGAUUGAGCACUAAGUUGAUCUCCCUUGAUGUAUCCAUUACCGAAAGGGGUUGGAAACUUCAUCAACAUAUGUGUGGAUACCAUGGCCUUGAGAUCAUUGAUGCCUGUGCGCCCAAAGAUGACAUUGUAUGCCGUCGGGCAAUUGACCACUAGGAAGUUAGUGGUAAUAGUAGCUGUGUAGGGGCCUGUACCAAUGGUGAAGGGUAAGUGUAUACUCCCUAAAGGUUGCACGAUAUCGCCAGAGAAGCUUAUCAGAGGAGAAAUCGAGCUAUCGAGCAAGUGUUCAGCUACAUUAAGUGCCUUGAAAGCUUCAGCAAACAUGAUAUUGACUGAAGCACCUGUGUCUAUCAGGAUUCGUUUCACAUCAAAAUUUGCUAUGUGAGCCUCCACGAUCAGCGGGUCGUGAUGGUAGAUAAUACCUCUUUCUUCCUCAGGGUAGAAACAUAUUGGAUCCCAGUUAGGUUUUUGAUACUUGCCUCCCCUGAUGUCUUCCACGUGAAACACUUGAUGGCCAGGUUUCAAAGUUCGUUCACUGUUUUUCAUAGCCCUAUUGGAAGAUUCAGACAUAGGUGUGCCGCCGCUUAUAGAAUAUAUCACAUUCACCUGGCGUUGGUUACGGUUAUCCCUUGGAGGGUGAAGGAGGAACUGAUCAAUUUUUCCUUCACGUGCCAAAGCUUCAAUAUGAUCACGGAGGAUGACGCACUCCUCGCCAUCAUGGCCAUUAUACUCGUGGUAGCAGCAAAACAUGCCCGUGUUUUUCGUGGACUUGUAAUCUGGCUGUCUUGGCUUUGGCUUUGGUAUCAGAUGAGCUAUACUGGGGUAGAUGGCCGCGCAUGUAGCGUUCAAAGGUGUGUAUGUCUCAUACCUCGGGGUAGGGCCUGUCUUGACACGUGAUUGGCCCACUGCAUUGACUGCCUGGGGACGGGCGUUAUUGUGACGAUAUCCUGAGUUAUCGCGAUAGUGCCCCUUAUUCUUUUUAUUAAAAUGAGAUUGGUGAGGAUGGAAAUCUUUCCUUUUGCCCUGGGAUUGAUAUGUCUGCUGACUUGGCGAAGCAUUAAAUGAGGCAGGGGGUGUGCUGCUACCGUUUGGAAGGUUAAGGUCUUCUCAUUCGGUUGGAUCUGGCCUCCACUCCCUACUUGCUGAUAAGGGGUGACUGUAGGGGGUUUCCCUUGAUAUGUCCUUGCCUCGGCGGAGGCAUGGUUGUAAGCUUGUGCCAUCACCUCAGAGUAAGUCUUCCAAGUGUUGGCAUUGAUCAUGUACUUGAAGAAACAGUCACGUAAGCCUGCCGUGAAGGCCUUGAGGGCGGUCUUGUCAUCUGCCUUAGCGCAACGAGAAUACUCAUGGCUGAAGCGGCCAGCAUACUUUCGUAAUGACUCGUCCGGCUUCUGGCGAAUAGUGUACAAGUCAUCUGUGGAAUGCAAGCGAUCGGUCUGGAAGAUGUGUUGAGAGACAAACAGCUUCCUCAACUCUUCAAAUGAGUCUACUGUCUCAGGCGGAAGACGGCAAUACCAGUUUAAAGCUCAGCCAGAGAGGGUGGAGGGGAAGAGAAGGCAACGUUCUUCGUCGGUGUGUCUCCGGUAUACCAUGGUGGACUCAAAGAGGUUAAGGUGUUCAAUCGGGUCUUCCUUUCCAGUAUAGAGUUGUAAGCCAAGCUUCUGCUUUGUCUUUGCUUGGAGGGGGGUGUUGAGGAUCCUUCUUGUGAGGGGCCCAGGCCUGGGUUGGUUCCAGUCAGGUAUCUCGGCUUGACGUUCAGCCUUCAACUUGUUUACUUCCUCCAGGAGUUGUAGGACAAGGGGGUCCUGAGUGGAGUCGUGCACCACUGAAGGUUUCUUUCGUAAGUCCCCAUCGCCUCUUGUAAGUAGGAAAGUUUGAUCAAGAUAACGUGAUUUUUCCUUAGACUCGUCACACUGACUCCUAGAGUGAGUAUGUCGGAACAUUUCCGAGUCCCCUGUACCUUCAUGUUCUUCUGGGACUUGUUGCCCAUUCCUUAGAUUAACUGCUGGCCUGGGUCGUGGGAGAGGACCGAGUCUUUCAGAAACUCUUGGGUCAUUGAUCUUCGAGCUUAUGUGGAUGGGAUUCUCUCGACGUUGCUUUAGAAAGUCUCGACAAUCGCGAUAGACGGCUUUUGAUCCUUCCACUCCUUCUGUGAGGAUGUGCUUUCCUCUACUCCUUCUGCUUCGGGUUGAAGCAGCUGGGUUGAGAGAAGUCUCAUGUUGAUUAUCACAUUGAUAUGUAGCUCGAUCCUUAUCAGGGAUGUCUGUGUUGGAUAUCGGUGACCCUCCGUGUUGGGGGGCAUUCAGAUGAUUGUUGACCUCAGCAGGGGCGACGAGCUUGUGUGCUUGAGCAUGCCUAGCCUCGUGAAGCAUCUCGAAAAGUUUUUCAUACUGCUCCUGGAGAACCUCGUUCCUCAUCACUAUCUUGUUGUUCUGAGCUUCUAACUCAUCGACUUUAGCUUGAAGAGUAACUCUAUUUCCUUCCUGCUUUCAUUGCUUCGUACUAGGUCCAAUGGGGGUGUCAUUCUGUGUGUUAUGGCUUCUUUCGCUCCCCAUGUCGGAGAGAGAUGCUUGGCCAAAAGAGAGUGUACGAGCAGUGGAAACCAGCUUGACAAAGCUGAAGAGAGUGGGAAUAAGUGUCAGUUCCCACAAACGGUGCCAAAUGUUGAUGCACAAAAUCAGCGAGGACUUUGGUACAACAGAAAGUGUCAGGUUUGUGACAUUCGCUUGGUUGCUUCGAUCACUAGUGAAGAUAAGUACGUAAAUGAAUAGGGACAGGGAAGCAAACACAAGAUGUACGUGGUUCACCCAGAUCGGCUACGUCCACGGAGUAGAGGAGUUCUCAUUAAUUGUGAAGGGUUUACACAAAUACAUAGGUUCAAGCUCUCAUUUUGUGAGUUCUAGUGAAUAGUUUAGUACAAAAUGACAUUAGAGAUUAUUGUGGGAGAAUGAUCCCUAUUUAUAGAAGAGAGUUUCUAGUUUUGUUCUAACAUUGACACGUGUCGUGUUGUGAUUGGCUUCUGAUGUUGACACGUGUCGAGCUGUGAUUGGCUUCUGAUGUCGACACGUGUCGCAUUGUGAUUGGCCUCCUGGUUGAAGGGAAGCUCUUCUGGGUCUUCGACAGUAUAACGUUGACCGGUGCUCAGUAGUUUCGGGAUUGGUCAAGUAUGGUACAAACAUACUUGGUACUUACAUCGUUGAUUUAUUAUAUACAUUUGAAUGACUAAGUUGUGAACUUGUGAUGCUACUCUUCUCUUUUUGUUUUUGCCAUUUAAGUAUAUGUGUUUUUCAAGAAAUAGAGAAUUUGGACAUAUUAGUUCUUCAAUGUUAUUCUAAAGGACGCCGGGACGCCACGUAUUUAGAUUAUGAUUGUUAUGAACUUGUAAUGUUCUUCUGCAUUUUUGUUCCGUUUGAGUAUACGCAUUAUGCAUUCUCUGAAGUAUAGAGGAUUAGGCGAGAUUAGUCAUUCGGUGUUGGAAUAAAAGGUUGCGGAACGCCACUAGGUUUAUGUUCUAAUGAUACCGUUGCCAUGGCAUUGGCACCUGAGACAAAAUAGGCUGAAGCGCAUUCAACUGAGCAAGGCGGGACGGUGAGCAUUAUGCAGCACUAAUUGCCUCGGCAACCCUCUAUGCUGGACUUCACUCCCUCAAAAACUCUUGUCGAGAACCAGUUCCUUUUCCGACUCUUUGAAGCGACCAACACCGUUGUGUUUUUCAUCUCCAUUUGAAUGAAGAAAACCCUGGUUCCUCGAUCGAGCUUUGCAUGAACCUGAUCCUCUUUUUACUGUGCGUUAUCUACAUGUUAGGUCUUGCAAUGGUGUUUUAUUGCACCUGAAGUUUAUGAAUGUGAUGUUGUAACUCUGUAGGAAUCAUGGUGACUUUGUUGUGUAACUGGUGUUUUCUGGCACCUGAAGUUGGUUGAGAGAAAAAGAGUUGAACAAAACUUGCAACCCUUGGGAAAGCUAAGGCUUUUCUUUUUGUUAGUUGAACCGUUCCCAGCAAAGUUAUUUCGUACGAACGAUGUUGUUGAGUAGUAGUUGGUAUUUUGAAGGCUCUAUUAUUCUUCAUGCAUGUUACUGUAGACGUACCAAUAAUUUUGAGGAGUAAAUUCUGGGGCCUCAAAUAUUAAGUAUAGUAGAACGCGCUUGUGUUAUAAAGUAUCUUUUCAGCAAGAGAAACUUGCAUACAUCGUGACGUAUGCAUGACAAGAACGAGAAAUAUAUACUGCUUCAAGGAAGUUCUUCGCCUUCUCAACUCAACUAGAUGCAGUGAAAGGCAAAACUCCUACAUCAAGAAAGGACCAAGCCUUAUGAGGACAUAUAAGGAGUUUGACUACUCCCAUAUUAUUAAUAGUACUAUAGCGGAACCUCAACUUCUUUCAUGUAUCUCAGAACAAGUUGGCCCAUGUGUGAAGCUCAACAACACACGUUCUCUACGUCCUCCAAUUUGUGAUGUCUACAUGUUAGAUUUGAACAUUUGUUACACAUGAGAGGGUGUGUGAGAAUAUAAAUAAAUAUCUUAUAUCAAAAGUUUACUAAAGCUUGCAUGUCCUUAUAGCUAGAGAGUUGGACUACUCUCAAUCACCAUAUUGCCAACUGAAUUUAUGGUAAAACCUCAAUUUCCCUCAUAGACAAAUUAUGUUAAAGCAUUUAGGCUUGCAGCUAUACCUUUGUAUUGAAUCUAGGGUUUCAAACACAUUCCAAUCACCAAUAACUAUUCUAAACAACUUUUUCAAGACCAUAAUGAUAUGAAAUUGAGAAUGAUUAGCAAAAGAGUUAGCAGCUGAGAGAGUAGUUGGUUUUGCAAUCAAAUAUCUACGAACUAUGUUGACUAAAUCAUUGACCCAUUUAUAUGAUAACAAUUAGUUUUGGUCACAUGCCCUGGUGGUAAGUUUUUCUAGGUUAGCAAAACUGCUGGGAGUGAAAAAGUUAAGUCUACAAGUUAUAUUCAUAGGUGUUUCUUAUAUUCUAUGGCUUCUAAUUAAAUUAUAACCAAGGAUGCAUGGUCACAGCCAUAAUCAUUAAUUUACUGGCACCAAAUUUGAAUUUUCAUCAUAUAUAGCGAUGUUGGUAUGGUAAUUGUCACAAGCAAAGUUUUAGGAAGAAAUGUCAUUCAAGAGAGUGGAAAUUUCUUCACAAAUAAUUGACCACCACAUGUCCCGUUUACUGGCAUGUGAAAUUGCUGCCAUAUUAAUUUGAUGUUUUCUCAUGGGUCAAACUAGAAAUUUUGCAAGGGUUUAUAAGAGGUUGAGUUAUUCUCUAUAUUGCCAAAUUGGUUUUAUGGUGAAACCCCAACUUUCUUCCUUGUACUAGAGCAGAUUGGCCCACGUGUAAAGCUCAAAGACCACACUUGUUCCACAUCACUCAAUAUGUGCUACCAAGCAUUUGGCUUGAAAAUGUUGCCACAUGCGAGGGAGCAUGUGAGGAUGUGAAGGUAAAAGAGCUUAUAAGAAGUUGGGCUACUCCCAACAUUACCAAUUGGUUUAGAACCCCAACUUUCCUUUGGGUAUCAAAGCAGGUUGGCCCACGUGUGAAUCCUAACGGCCACACUUGCUCCACAUCACCCAAUUCAUGUUGUUCACGUGUUUGGCUUGAAAACUUGCUAUACGUGAAAGGACUUGUGAAGAUUUAAAGGUAAAUGAGUCUCACAUUGGUGAAAGGAGAAACCUUGUAAGGAGUUAUAAGAGGUUGAACUACUCCUCAUAUUUCCAAUGAGUUUUAUUAUGGAACCCAACUUUCUUCAUGGAAUACCAGUGUUUUCAAAUAAGAACAAUUUAUCUGCAGCAGGUUAAUUUGAUCCCUUCCAACACUACUAGACCUUUAGCACACAAGGUUUGAAAAGAAAAAACUGUAAAAAUGAGGUUGAAGGUGAGCUAGAGAACAAACUUGAACAGCGUAUAUGCAAGUUUAAUUGAAGUUGUUUUAACUAUUAUACAUCUGAUAGAUUUGAUGCAAUCGAGCUCUAGCUUGUCUAGAAAAUCUGUCGUGUCAUCGGGUAUAUAGUGUGUAUUUAUCCUCAGUUGUAGAAGCAUGACUUGUCUACACUAGCUACUGAGGCAGAUUCUAAAUCAAUAACGCAUUGUAAUGAAUUUUUAACUUUCUAAUUGUACGCACUAAUGCAUUGAUGGUUUUGAAUAUCUUUAUAGUAACGGAUCGUGUAGGUAGUCUCUCUCCGAUUCGAGGACAUACUUUGAUGAGCCUAACCCAACUGACAAUUACACCAAACUUUUCUCAUUUCUAAGUUGACUUGGUUGUAGAUUAACCUAAAGCCAAAAUAAUACCGACCAAAUUUACGAAAUCUUGGUCGAAAGGCCACUUCAAUUGAUCACUAGAACAAGAAGCAGAAAUUUCAAACUUAGCUUUUAUUUUUCUUUUGCAUUGCCAACCAUACAAGGUAUUGCCAUAAACACAACUACAAUAUAGGCUUUGCUUUUGUACAAGUGGGCCUAAGAUUUUGCUCCAAUUGUCAAACACCCCUACCUCUACAUAACCCCCCUCUCAUCCAUUCAAAUUUCCUCACAAACACUGUGAUCUUUGUCCAAUCAUAAGAAAAGAUCUAGUCCAAACUCCUUUCUAUUUUCUUCGUUAGGUUACUCCCAAGAAGUCAAAAGCCAAUUCCAUGGCUGGCUCAUUGGCCAUUUUUGGUGUGGUCAUGGCGUUGGGAAUGUUGAGUUGUGGUGCUGAGGCUCGUGCCUUUUUUGUGUUUGGAGACUCACUGGUCGACGCUGGCAACAACAACUACUUAGCCACCAGUGCUCGUGCCGACUCUCCUCCUUACGGCAUUGACUAUCCCACCCGUCGACCCACCGGUCGUUUCUCCAAUGGCCUCACCAUUCCUGACUAUAUCAGUUAGGUUUUCUUCCAUUCUCUUUUUCUUUCCGAUUUUUCGGGUUAUUUUCUCGUUAUUCACAUGUACUGAAUUGACCUAAUAUGUGUGUGCGUAUGUGUAUAUAGGUCAGAAGCUUGGUGCAGAACCUACAUUGCCAUACUUGAGUCCACAACUCACAGGGCAAAAGCUACUAGUUGGUGCAAACUUUGCCUCUGCUGGCAUUGGAAUUCUUAAUGACACUGGGGUUCAGUUUGUAAGUUUUCUUUUAAAACAAAUAGAGGAUCAUGCGAGAGAUUAGCUCUUUAGUGCCCGUCAUGAGCACAAAAGUGCUACAUGCUAGUAAAUUAAUUACCUUGGUAAAGUUGUCAACCAACAAAUUUUUUUUGAACUAGUAAUGGAUGGAUAUGUGUGAAAUUUUCAGGCAAAUAUAAUCAGAAUGCCAGCGCAAUUGCUAAACUUCCAACAAUACCAGCGAAGGUUGUCUGCCCAAAUCGGACCUCAACGGACCAAACAGCUCGUAAAUCAAGCACUCGUCCUCCUCACCGUCGGCGGCAACGAUUUUGUGAACAACUACUACCUAGUGCCUUUCUCCGCAAGAUCUCGCCAGUUUGCUCUGCCAGACUAUGUCAGAUACCUCAUUUCCGAGCUCCGAAAAAUUCUCUUGGUAACCAACUCCUAAUUUGGCUAAGUUCGGAAAUAACUUGCUAGCUAAGCGACAAUGUCACAUGUUAAUGACUUAUAAUUAUGUGUAGUUUGAUCAUUCUUUGUGUCAUAACUUUACAGAAAAUGUAUGAUCUUGGAGCACGAAGGGUUUUGGUGACAGGGACAGGACCGAUGGGCUGCGCAC
rnacentral:lncRNA from 1 species